rnacentral:lncRNA from 1 species
UUUGAAGGUAUCCAGGGAAAAAUUCUAGAAUGCAUCGGAUAUAUUGGUGACGUGGCGUAACAAAUCAAUCAAAUGUCUUCUUUUAGAGGUAUAUAUCCCAUCAUGAUUGUAAAAAAAUAUUUUUAUUGUACUUUUAUUUGAAAAUAAGGAAUGUGAUUGGCUUGUUAUUGAUGAUGUGGUGCAAGUGUGACAGUAUAGAAUUCCUCGUAUCUAAGAGGGAGUGUGAGAGGAAUCUGUACUAUUUUAACCCAAGAAGCUGUGGGAUCACGCCAGAAUUUUAUGCCUGUCCAAGUACUGUUUGUUUCAUUUAUUUUUUUAAAAUUAAAUUUAGUUAGAAAUAUUAGGUACCAAUUAAUCAUCAAAUAUUUUACCAUUUGCACUAGAAACGGUAAAUUACACUAACGAGUAGUUGUUAUUUGAAAAGCUAGGUUGGCUUAUACGCAAAUGAAAAGAAGUACUUCUAAGAAUUUUUCUAGUAGGUGUUGGAUUGAGCUUUUACUUUUAGGGGCCGUAAACUUCUCCUAAUCUAGCCCACAACUGUUCAAACCUGGUUAAUUUAAAGUUAAUUAAUUUCGGAUCUAAAACAGUAACUUAAUUUAUUGCAAUAGUAGGAUAACUUAUGUAGUAACUAAACACAUGAAUAAUAUAUUCCAAUUAAAAAAAGGAAAUUCUGAAAUGCAAAUCAAAUCAAAAGAUGGAUAUUCAUGAGGUGGAAAUCCUAUACACUGGAGAAAUUUGAUUCUUAAAAAAGUAAUUCCUCACAUGAGCUCAGACAUUUAUGUGUUCAGUGGAUAUGAAAGUAACAUCUUCAACUUGGUUAUUGGACAACCUGAAAUCAGUAGUCAUAGUGAGUUUAAUAUAUUUCUCUAAUCAAAUUUCAUAGAUAUUUUUGAAGAAACAAAAAUGUUGUUAUUCAUGUGAAAUUUGAUAUAAAAGUACAGUACAAAAAUGUGAUUCUGUCACAUAUCUACAGUGGAAUACGUGUGAGCACUCGGGUUCGCACAACAGAUCACGUACUCUGCGCACGAAAUUUUUAUUAGAUUGUAUGCAAGUUAGUUUAUUUCCUCAAACCUUUUUUUGUUUUUUUGAGAGAUAGGUAGUACGCUAUCCGCUUCGUUUACUUCAUUUAGAAAUAAACUUAGCUAGAAAUGUGAAUCAAUUAGGAUUCGAACUUGGGACCUCGGAUACCAACCACUUUACCACUUGCUCUAGGGACAGUCGGUAUUUCCUCAAACUUUUGUACAAGUUUGAAGCUUCCAAAUUCCAAAACCCUGAUGAGCACUCACUGAAAAGUUUCUUAGGUCAACUAAAUCCUAAUCCCAUGUUAUGAAGGCCCAAAAAGCCCAAAAUUACCCAAUAGGCCUUUUAUGUCGAAAUCUUCGAAUAGUAUAUUUUGGGCCUUUGCUUACGAUUAUUUAUGUUUCUAUGAUAACUUUGUAGCUCAAAUGAAUUAGUACUGUAAUAUAGAUAUAUCAUGCAAUUAAUUUAAACUUUUUAAGAGGUAUGCACACAUGAAAUAUGUAUAUUUCGAGGGGUAUAUGCGCAUAAACCUUAAUUACAAAGAGUUUCUAUAUGUAUAAAUAGCCUAAUUAAUGAAAAUAUUUUUUCAUAGGGAUCUAAGAUGGCAAAAAAAAUCUCAAUAAUAGACCCCUUUGGACCAAGGUUUAUCAUUCCUUUCAUGAAAAGAGAGUUCGUGGCAAAGGAUCUACACACGAAUUAUCACGUCCUAGUCAAAGUAGAUAGUAGAUUUUGACAUAUUAAUUAAUGCAUGAGAUCCCAAGGGUGGGAAAUUCGAGUUCGCGAGUCGUGUUCGUGUUUGACAAAAGUUUGAAAAUUUGGUGAAUUUUUUGUGACAAGAUGUUGAAUAUUCGAGUAUAUAUUAGAAAUACAUUUGCGUCGCAAUUGUGUCACGUGUGUCGUCAUUUUUGGAUCAUACAGAAUCUCAAUUCGUGUUGUGUUGAUUUCAGAUAUUUUUUGUAUAGUAAUUUCACAUCAUGUUUUAUUUUGUGUCGAAUAAUAGAAUAAGAACAAAAACUUGAUUUCAUAUUACCCAAAGUGGAGAAUAAUUGUGAGUUGGUUUAUGCACCCUUCACUCGCAUAAUGAAGAUAAAAUACAGACCCUGUUAUGUGUAGUAAUGGCAAAGAUAAAGGAACAGACAACAUAAUAUCAGAUAAAGUUUACAUUUUAGAUUUUUGACAGGAUCGCAAAAACCGUAUCUUAAUCAAAUCAGUAAGGUCCACACAUAGAGCGCUAUUAUUUUUGAAAAUAAAUAAACAAUUUGUUUUUCGCCGAUCAAAUCAACGCAGUUCUCUUUGUAUGAACUCCAUAAGAAUCUUAAAAUAGAGAGAGGUUUAGGCUCUAUUUGUGAUUACAGAAAGAUUGCGUUAUGUAUAGCGAGAAAAAUAUAGUGACUUUAUUUAUUUCCGUAUGUAUUUUCGCGUUCUAUAUAUCUAAAUAAGAUGAUUACGAUAUAUUUUAUACGAUUCCACCGAAGAUUAUAAAAACAUAUUCUUGCAUGCUAUUGGUUCAAUUUUAUUUUAUUUAUUAGCAUUAAAUGAGCCUCAAUACGAAACAGGGUUUUAAAAUAACUACUUUUUCUUUUCUUUUCUUUUUUUUUUUUUAAAUCAGUAUUGUGUGUAGGCCCCGUAACCUAAACCCCACUCCCUAAACCCGCGAAAAGUUUUUUUUUUUUUUUUUUUGAGAGAUUGGUAUAGCACGCUACCCGCUUCGUUUAUUUCAUUUAAAAAUAAACUUAGCUGGAAAUGUGAAUCAAUUAGGAUUCGAACUUGGGACUUCGGAUACCAACUAUCAAGCUCUUUGUCACUUGUUUUAAGGACGGUCGGUUGUUAUCUGAAAAGCUAAUUAGGUGAUUUUGAUGCGUCCGUACGACCCCUCCAUGUGAGUUGUCCAGCAGCCGCGACCACUCAAAUAACUCCGUGCACCUGCUGCAUCCAUACAUCAAUCUCGUACACCGCAUCAUCGAAAAAAACUCGGCUGUAAAAAUAUCGAAUAAUAGAGGAGUUGGUACUAUCCAAUCGGACGAGAAAAGAGAUCAGAGGUUUGAGUCUCGAGUCUCAAUUUUGCCCGUUAACAAACAAAUUAAGACAACUUAAAAUUUUAACCUUCUACUCUGGUAUUAUGUUAAAUUAUAUAAAAUAAUCAUAUUUUUUUUUUCUAAAAAAUUAGUUUGAUAUGUUGUCAAAUUAAAUGAAACAAUUAUUUUUUUUCCAAAAAUUUAAAUUAUAAGAGAAUAAUAUGUUUAAUAUUUGUGUUCAAUACUUCUCUUCCGAGAAUUGUGUUUUUAUAUUUUUAUAUUCAACAAUAUAUAUAUAUAUAUAUACGGCCUCUAAAAUAAUGAAAAGUUAUAUAUACGGCUUAGGCAUUUGUAGUUUGGGAUCAUGAAACUAAAAACACUUGUGCUUUUAUUUUUUUUCUUCGCUAAUAAUAUAAAACUAGUGUACAGACCCGCGCGAUGCGGCGGAUAAAUAAUAUAAAUAAAAUUUAAAAUUUUUUUAAGAUAAAAAAUAAUAAUAAAAAUUAAAAUUUUAAAAUGUAUAUGAUGACAUACGGAUCUGCUCUUUUCCAGGCUUGACUCACUCUCCUCUCCUUGAAAGCUAACGGAGAGAGGGUGAGAGAAAAAUUAUAGGAUCGAAUGAGUUACUGUAUAUAUAACUUGAAAUAUUUUUAAAAAUGAACGAAAAUUUUAAAAUAUAAAUAAUAGAAUUAAUAUUUCGUGAUAGUUACUAAAUAAGAUGUAGUUUUAGAAAAAAAAAAGAAGAAGGUGGAUCAUUUAUUAGUAACAAAUAAUAAAUUGAUUUGUAAAAUUUAAUGAGAAAAAAUAUGGUAAGUUGAAAAGUUUUUCUCGGUAAGAAAUAACAACAUCUAUGAAGCAAGAAAGAUGGACCAUAUAUUUUGAUAUAAUUUGACAAUUAAUUAUCACACUUUAUAAUAAUUUAUCAAUUGCAAUUAUGAGGAACCGUUUUCUAAUUUAGAAAAAUUAAUUGCUAAUAGAAACGGCUAGUAUGAAAUGUAGAGGGUUAUGUGAAAUUUGAAAUGCAUCAAUAACUAUCAAAAUAAAAAAUAAAUCAGAAAAAAAUCUCAAAAAAAGAGGUCAUGCCACCUCAGCUUUUGUUAUUGGGGAUUAAUAGAAAGUAUUGAAAUGCAACAAUAACUAUCAAUAAAAAAAAAAAUCUCAAAAAAGGAGGCCAUGCCACCUCAGCUUUUGUUAUUUGGGAUUAAUAGAAAGUAAUAGAUUUCUAAAAAUAUUUUAAUGCUACUUUUUGUCAGAGAAAUUUGUCAUGUUUAUUCUUUUUCAAUUUGUUUAAUUGUUCAUAAAAUUUUAAGAUUUCAAUGCAAAAGUAAGAACAAUUUUUUCAUUAUAGGAAUGUUACUAGUGGUUUAACUAUAGCUUUAAAUACUAUGGGGAAUCGUCUCCACCUAAUCAUAAAAAAUCAUCUCAAUUAGCAAUAUAAUAGCACACAUUUGUCGUUUUCAUGGCUUAAACUAUUUCAUAUUAAUUGAACUUUUAUUACGAAAUAGUUUGAAUUAUCAAAAUCAUGGAAGAAUCCUCUUCUUUAUUUUUAUAUAGUUAUUUAGUUACAACCCUCAUGUUCCUAACAAUUAAUAGGGCAGAAGAUAAUUUUUUUAAAAUUUAAAAUUUUGGUUUCUAGAAAAGUCAAGAUAACUAGAGUACUAGACAUGCCAUGACUCCAUACCAUGAACUUCCUCUUUCUUGAGAUCUCUCUCUCUUUAGAUCUCUCUUAUAGAGAGAGAGAGAGAGAGAGAGUUGAGCUGGAAUGUUAUUAUUCGCAAAUGGGCUCCGUUGUUAUCCAUUUAUUUUCGAUGACGGAGCCUUCAAAUCAACACUAAGUACUGUUGAACAUGAUCUAUACCACUUGAAGUAUUUAAAAACUAAAUUUCAAACCUUUUUAACAUCAUUGACCUAAUAAUCAAAUGGUUUCAAAUUUUGUAAUUUUAAUGGUCGAUAUGAGACAUUUUCUCAUUUAACAGUAUAAAGACAUUCAAAUCAAUUGAAUUUGGUACAAAAUUUUUUUAAACUAUUUAGAAUAAGAUCUAUACUCUCGAUCUUGAUUACAAGAUAUCUAUCAUCACUUUUUAGAAGAUAUUCAUUUUCAGUCGUUCAUUUUUGUGUUCACUCGAUGGACAAGAAAAUAAUAUCGAAAAAGUAUGGAAUUUAGUUUCUAGAUACUUCAAGUCGUAUAGAUUAUGUUCAACAGUGCCGAUCGUCGAUUUAGAGGCUCCGUCAUCGGAAACAAAUGCGUGGCAACGUAGUCCGUUUGCUAUCGAUAGCAUUCCAGCUCAACUCUAUCGGUGUGUUUGGUUCGAAGUCGGAGCCGGAAUCGGAAUUGAAAUCAACAUAAGAUGGAAUCGAAAUCGGAAAGACUCAUUACCUAAUUCUAUUUGGUUUAUCACCUGAAUUGGAAUCGGAAUAAAUCAUUCCCAUUGUCAGUGUUUGGUUCAGGUGAAUGUAAAAAAACGUAAAUCAAAUUAAUAUACUAACAUUAUCUUUAUAAUAUAUUAAUUUAAAUUGAAAUUAAAUAUUAAAAAUUUACAUCAAAAUUUUGAAAUAAUAUCAAAAUUUUAAAUCUAUUUUUUUAAAAAAAAUUAAACUUUGAAGUUAAGUGGAUAAUUCAAAAUAUGAAACUAAAUUUUGAUUUAUUCAAAUUCAAACUUAAAAUUACAAUUUUAAUUUUAAUUUGAAUUCAUAAAUUUAAUUUAAGUUUGAAAUAAAAUUUAAAUAAAACUUUAUAUAAAUUAAAAUUUAAUUUAAAUUCAAAUUCAUAAGUUAUAUUCGAAAUACUUAAUUAAAUUUUAAUUUUUAAUUUAAGUUCAAAUUAAAAUUUAAAAUUAUAUAUAUUUAAUUUUUAAAUUUUAACUCAUAUUUUAAUUAAAAAAAUUAAAAAAAUAAAUUUAAUCCGAAUAAAUAUCCAUUCCGUCCGGAUUCAACUUCCAAUCUGGCCUCCUAGGCCGGAUUGAAAAAAGAGGUGAUUGGGGGAUUCCCAUUCCACUCGGGAAUCGAAAUCGGAAUGGAACUCCCGCGUACUAAACACCCACAAACGGAUUCAUCCAUUCCGAUUCUGAUUCCAAGGUGAAAAAAAGCGAACCAAACACGCCCUAUAUGUAUAUGUACAUAUGUAAUAUGUAUGUAUAUUUAAUCGAAUAAAAUAACUUUAGAAAGGUAUAUAUACAUAUAUCUCAGAAAACAAAAUAACUUCAUUUCUUUCUGUGUGCUGAAGUUCCAGAUUCAAAUAGAUAUAUAUAGUUAGGGUCUGUUACUGAGACUAUAUAUAUAUAUAUAUAUAUAUAUAUAUAUAGAGUCCGGCUACUAUACUAUUGAUAGUAUCAAGCCCUUGGUACUAUUGAGUUUUCUACCGUUAGAUCUAUCCUUUGAUCAUUUUCACCCGUUAGAUUAUACUAUUAAACCAACCACCCACUCAAUCCUAGAGGACCACUAUCAAUUUAAUCGGGACCACUAUCAUCCUAACCGCACAUCCUUUCAUCCAACGGCCAAAAACUCAAUAGUACUAAGGGCUUGGUACUAUUGAUAGUAUAGUAGCAUAAUUCUAUAUAUAUAUAACUAUUAUAGAGAGAGAAGAGAGAGAUGAGAGAGAGAGAGAGAGAGAGAGAGAGAGAGAGGUUGGACUGGGCUACUAUAGUAGCAAAAUUUCAUUGUUGCUACAAUUUUUAGCCUUUUGAUCAACUCUUUUGAUUAUUUCUAACCAUUGGAAUUAAAUACUAUAACCCAGUGGGCCACUCAACCCCAGAGAACCACUCAAUUCUAACCGACUAAUAUCAUCUCACCCUACAAUUUUUCAUCAAGGGUUAAAAACUGUAUAGCAAAAGAGCGUUUUACUAUUAAUAGUAUUCCAGCCUAAUUCAUAUUAUAAAUUAUAUAUAUAUAUAUAUAAUAUAUAUAUAUAUAUAUAAUAUAUAGAGUUGAGCUGGAAUACUAUCGGUAGAAACGGGCUCCGUUGCCACCAUUGACUUUCGAUGAUAGAGUUCUCAAAUCGAUGAUCGCACCGUUAAAUAUCUAUAUCACUUGAAUUGUUUAGAAAUCAAAUUUCAAAUCUUUUCGACAUCAUUGCCUAAUUAUCAAAGGGUUUCAAAAUUUGUAAUUUUAAUGUCGAUAUAAAGCGUUUCUCGUUUAACGGCGUAAAAAUAUUCAAAUCAAUUAAUUUUGUUAGAAAAUUCUUAAACUAAUUUAAAACAAGAUCUAUACUCUUGAUCUUUAUUACAAGACUCUAUUCAUCAUUUUUUUAAGAAUAUUCAUUUUCAGCUCGUUCAUUUUUGGUCCACUUGAUGGAUAGAAAACAAUAUCGAAAAGUUAUGAAAUUUGAUUUCUAAAUAUUUCAAAUGUAUAAUCAUGUUCAACGGUGCCGAUCAUCAAUUUGGAGACUCCAUCAUCGAAACAAAUAAAAUCAUAUAUAUAAUAUAUAUAAUUAUAUAUAUUAAUAUUUAUUAAUAUAUAUAUAUUAUACAUGAUAUGUAGACGCUAUGCUGUAUAGACAUCGUAAGCACGGCAAAGGCCUCCGUGCUACAAGUGUUUUCAAUAUGCCGCUUUCAAAUCGACGAUCGGUCUCCUUAAAAACUUUGAUCUUACAUUAUGAAAUAUUUGAAAAAAUAAAAUUUACAUAAUUUUGUCGGUAGUCAUUACCUAUCAAACUAGUAGUCUACAAAUAUGAACAGGCCUUGAAGAAUAAGAAUUUCAUAAAAAAUGAUGAUAGAAGACUUGAAUUUAAGAUCAGAGGUACUGAUCUUACUUUGAAUAGUAAAAAGAAUUUUCUAUAAAAAUUUCAUCUGAUUUGGAUUGUUUUACACCGUUAAAUUUACAAAUGCAUCACAUCUACCAUUAAAAUUGUCAAUUUUGAGACCUUUUGAUCACUAGCCAAAUGAUGUCGAAAAAUUCUGAAAUUUAGUUUCCAAAUACUUUCAAUAGUGUAGAUCAAGUCUAACGGAGCCGAUCGUAGAUUUGGAAGUCGCAUUAUUGAAAACAACUUGGUAGCACGGAAGCCUCCGUGCUACCGAUAGUAUAGCAGCCGGAUUCUAUAUAUAUAUAGGAGAGGGACCUGCUAUUGUGGUCUUCAUUAGGGAAGCAACAUCAAAUAAAAUAGGAGAUCGAAUCGAAAAUGAAGUGCUCAGUGAUCGCCAUUAAUCAACUAAUCGGGAAGAGUAAUCAAUGCAUUAGUUGCCGCCCCUACGAGACUUCGACGGGCCGAGGAGGCAAGCCGACAUCUGAUAAACAGAAAAAAGCAUCAAUAUUUAAUCUAAGCAUCGCAAUCCUGCAAAGAUACUCUCAUGUUCUACUCUAUUUAUUUUAUGUUAUUGAUCGGUUAAAUGGUCCUUAAAAGCUAAUUAACAAUGUUCUAUACUAAUAUAAUCACACACAUUUCGUUGAACUAUAUAUUUAGUAUCUACUCUAUAUAUCAAGGAGUACGUACCUUCACCAGUUACACACUUACACUUAUAUUUCCUUAUGUCAAGUCAAUGAUAGUAGUACUAUAGGUGUAGCAUGCACUAGAUCUCUCCAAAUCAUAUACUAUGAAAUGGAUUGUUAAUUUGGGUUUUUGUUUAAGGUUAAUUUAUGAUGUGGAAUCUUGUUGAAAUCAAGUAGUUGGUACACAUUAGGGAUUUAGGAUGCUCAAGAACAAUAUGAGAAUAAAUGGAGACUUUGUCAACAUGUGAUUCCAUUAAAGUCGGCAAAUAGGGAAUGGUAAUUGGAUUGUAGAAGGGGAAUCUUUUUUACUAUAUGAUCCAAUAAUGAUCCAUUAUGUACCCAUGUGACUUGGUGAGUUUAUUUCACUUAAACCUAAUCUUGUUUGUACACUAGUUCAAGAUUCAACUCAUUAUAGAAUUAAUGGAGAUGUAUCUCAUGUAUACUUUAGUACAGUGGAAUAUAUUGAAAUAAUUAGUUUAGGCAUAAAUUAUUGUUUAUGUAACUUACACUUUAAGACCAAUAUUUGACUUUUCAUUUUUUUAAAAAAAGGAAUUUUUUUUGCCUUGUACAUAUGCAGCUAAUCUAAACUAUUUACUUAUAUUUACUCGGCGGUACAACAAGAUCAGAGCAAGUGGUAUUAGAUCAGAUAUCACAACUCCAAAUUCAAUCGAUAAAUAGAUCAAAGAGUAAAAUAAUCUCACACCGCAAAUAUAACAUGAUAAUUAAGAUUCGUAAAUAUAACUUUUAGUUACAUAACGACAAACAAAAAGUUGUCGUUGCAAUACUUACAAUUGCAUAGUUGAAAUGAACAAUAUUUCAACUGUACAUCCAACUAAACAAGCCCUAAAUAAACUAACUGUGCUAGAGAGAUGUGUUAAUAUGUAAUUAGUGUGAUAAUUAAUGGCAUACAGAAUAUGUUUAAUUUCCUGGUUAUUAUUCAUAUACGCAGAAACAUUCUAUUUAAUUAAUUUCAAAAUGAUCCACCACCUUAAUUUGGACAGUUUUCAAACUUUAGACUAUCAAUUGAAUGAUGCCAUGGGCCCUGGUUCUAGGAAUUUCCACUGUGGGGCAUGCAUAAAAUCCAAACCCUAACUGUAGCACCUAACUUUAGGAAUUUAACAUUCAAACAAUAAGUUAAAGUUUGUGAAAUUUCCAGGCAAAAUCAAAGGAUUAGGUGGAAGAGAAUGAUGCUAAAUGUACAAUGGUCUAAAGGAAAUUAAUUUGCAUGCGUAUUGACUAGGAAAUUUGUGAUCAUUAGGGUUCUGUUGAAAAGUCAUGGGCACGGGUAACCGUUAAAAACAAUAGUACACUGGUCACUAUAUGCUACACUUGAUUUAAUUUGUACUGCAGAGAAAAUUUUACCAUUUUUACUACCUCCUUGUGAGGUAAAAUUUUCCCAUAAAAAGGAAAUUGCUUUAAAUAUAUACCUAGAAUGUAGACAAAAAUAGACAGUAGAUUUAUAUCACUUGUGUAAGUCAUGGCACUCUCUUUUUUCAAAAAAAUUUUGUACUGCGAGAUUUAUAAUAUGUUUUUUUAAUAAAUUAGUUUUAUACACAUGCAUGACAAUUAAUGAUAAUUAUUUUCAGAAAAGAUCAAAAGAUGCUAUAUAUGAUUGCACGUUUUUCUUGUGAGUAUUUUGUGAUUUUAUUUGUAUCACUUAGAUUGAUACUAUUUUCAUUUCUUACGAGGCUCUCUUUGUCGACCUAUUUAUUAUUUGAAUGUACAUCGAUAUGUUUUGUCUUUGCUUUUUGAUAUAAACUUUGAUCAAAAUCCAAACCCCAAUGACAUUAAUAAUUAAAGAAGUUCAUUUUAAAAGUUCUGAUAUAUUAUAAGACGGGAACUUUGUUCGAAGCUCAUUUUUAAGUUCUAAAAGUCUUGUAAAAUAACAUUUUGAGAAACGAUAAAAAUUUAUUAACUAUUAUAUGUAUGAGAAACUCGAGUGACCAUAUUUAAUAUUUUGAGAUAAUUUUGGAGAUAAACUUAAAAAUUUUCUUGUUAUUGACAUGUGAUACAGGAAGGAGAGUCAUUUUGGGGUAAGUUAUUUAUUUAGCAACCAACUAAGAAUACGUAUACAUACAUAUCAUAAAUUAUUUCCAAGUGAGUCCCCACAUAGAUUAUCUAGCAACUGGUAUAAAUACAACCUAACCACACUCUCUCUCUCCCCAUCCUCUCUCUCUCUCUCUCUCUCUCUCUCUCUCUCUCUCUCUCGCUCUCCCCACACUAUCAUAGUUAGUUAUUGUGCUCAUCCUCCUCACAAUUGAAGCUCUGUUUCCACCAUAUGCAUCCUCUUGUAAUAGAUCUUUCUCUCUCUUUCCUCUUAAUCUCUCUUAAUCUCUCUCUCUCUCUCUCUCUCUAUUGCUUUUUUUUAAAAAAAAUUCUUAUUCUAUGAUAGCCUUGUAAUCCUUUGAGAAAAACCCAUAUCUUGUGAUAGGAUUUUUCGUUUUCAAAUUUUGUUACCUUUAUUUUCUUUUGUUAUUACCACGCUCAAAAUUUUUUGGGGAAAGAAAAAGGAACCUUUUAUGUUCAAUUUGAUAUUUCGUACGAUUGCUAGGGUUAGAUCUCUCCCUGAUGGGGCCCACGUGCACCACCGCCGUGUACGGCCUAGCCAAUCACGUCGCGCCAUGUCGGUCUCGCGCUCGUGUUCUUCGGGUUGGGGAAAUUAAUGGCGCAUCAAUCUUAGAGCUUUUAUUGUUUCUUUUUUUAAAAAAAUUUAUUUAUUUUUUUUAAUUUUUUUUUUUCAAUUGUUUGUUGUUGUCUCGCUGGAUCCCUCUUGCUCUUGUUCUUCUUUGGGGAGGUUUAAUUUGAUCCAAAAUUUAAUAAUAUAUGUGUUUUGUUCUUUCUCCUUCCCUCUGAUUAUUGUGUGCACCUGGUUCAUCCGUAUUUCUAUGGAGUCGUCAAAGAUCGGGGGUUUGUUUGGCUCUGCUUCUGUGAUCGCAUGCGUGUCAUAUGUAUACAUAUAUAUGGUUUCGAUUCGUUUGAAGUGCAUGCAGUAUCAUAAGAGCACUUCCAAAGUGCCGAUCCGGUGCUUUUCGUUUUCACCAUGUAGCCUAGCCAAACAAGCCCUAAGAUGUAAUAGACGUACAUCAGAUGACCGGGCGGUGCACAGAUGUACGAAUGCAUGCACUAGGUGCAUGGAAUAAUAUUCUCUUCUCCAUUAGGUUCUCCAUUUCUCCCCCUCCUCUCUCUCUCUCUCUCUCUCUCUCUCUCUCUCUCUCUUCAAUGGUGCUGCAAAUAUACAUAUAUACAGGAUGAAUGGAGCAGUCGAAGAUUGCGGAUGUGGCAUCAUCAAGAUUCACAUGGUCAUGAUCCAUCCAUGAUCAAAUUCUACAUGAGAAUCUUGAUGAUGCUGCAUCAGCAAUAAUCGACUAUUAUAUAUACACCAGGGAAAAUGCUUUGCCCUCACAACAAUGAGGUUAGCUCUCAGUUUCUUUGUUGAGGUAAUUAAGUUUUUAUUUCUUUUAUUUUUUUUUUUACAAAAUUUUCAUUUUUUAAAUUCUUUCUGGGCAUUACAUGAUGUUGAAUUCUUUAUUAGGUAUUUUAUUAUGUGCUUCCUUGCUUAUCAAAGAUAAAAGAAAAUUUUAAUGGGAUAUAUAGAUAAGCAGUAAUAAUCAUGCAUGGAUUACUACACAACUGUUUGUUCUUCUAUAAAAUGUGGUUGUGUAAUGUGAAUUUCGUGCAAUAAUUCGAGUAUUUGGUAAUAGAUAUAUAACAUUUUAUCAUCAAUCUCAGGAGUAUGAUCAAUAUGAUGAUGGUUCUUGUUACGCAUUUUUGAAAUUUCAGUGUUCUGAUGUAGUGAAUGAUCAAUGUGGUAAAACAUUUUAAUAUCAAUUUGGAUUAAUGCUUGUUUUGAUGAAUCUCGAAAUUUCCGAUCUAUCUCAACGGACGAUUUUUCAUUUUGUGAGUAAAAGUUCUAUGUGGUUUUCUGCUUAUAGUUAUAUAUAUCUAAGGUCUUAUCUUGGUUCUAUUGUUCUUGUACAUUUGUAAAUGAUUCAAAUUUUGGCUCGAUAUACAGCUCCAUUAUUUAGGAGUUAAACAGUGAGAUGAGUACGUAACAAGGUUUUGAUUUUUUUUUUUUUUUGAAUUAUUUUGCAUUUGCAGCAAGAAUUAUUUGAUUUCUCUUGUGCUGAAAUAGUUGCUCUUUACUAAUUAUGUCAGCAACAUAACAACAGCUAGUUCUAUGGAAUUAUUUUCCUUUAUGAAAGUCCCAAAAAAAAACUUUCUUUUUCUACUUUUUUUUUUCUUCUGUUUUUCUGUUUUGAUGCAGUACUUUGUCAUUAUUAGGUUAUUUGUGCAUGCAUGUAUUGUUAAGAUUAUGCUUCAAAAAACUUGUUUAUCCAAUUGAUAUAUAGGAUUAACAGAUAUCUAGCCACAAUCUUUAAUUAAAGGCGAAUAUCAGAGGAGAUAUAAAGCAAUUACAUGUCAGUCUCCAAAUUAAGUGGAAAAAUGAAAUUAAUCACCAUAUAUAUUUGUUCAUAAUUUGUAUGUUUUUUGACUUGGGUAACAAUUAAAUGCCAUUCCUGCACUCUUUUCCUAAUUAAGCACUCUAACUAGAAAGCAUAAGCAACAAAACAUGUUAAUUUCUUUUCAACUCUCAAAAUUUAUAUGCUAAAUUGUUGUCCUAGGAGUUUCUAGAAGAAAAAAAAAUAUAUAACAUCUAAACAGGCCAAUGUAACCUAAAUGAUGAUUAAAUCUCUUGCAGUGUCUAAGGAUUGAAGAGAUGAAUUACAUAGUAAUGUAAAAGAAAAAUAAUAACACAUACCGAGGGCGUGAUCGGAUUCUCGGAGUAUUUUUAUUGUUGCUUAGAAAUAGUGUUUAUAUUUGCAUAAGGUUAAUUAAUGUUUGGAUGCUUAUUUUCAGGUUAUCAAAAUAUAACAAAAAUACAUGCCUCAUAAAGUUGUAAAUUUGUUGUAACAACUACUAUGGUGAGAGGUGUUUGAUUUGAUCAUCCUUAUAUAUACCAUAUGUGGGUGCUCCGAAGAAAAAAAGAAACACUAGAUAUAUACAAAGUUUUUAUGGCAUGGCAUGAGAAUUUUCACCAGGUAAAGAAGUGCAGGGUGACAAUGGAAGUAGUUCUAGCCCGCACAAAUCAAAGGUAUGAUGAUACAUCACUUUCACUCAUUGAAUUUAAAAGUUUCAAUUAAUUUGUACAUUUGUUUUUUUUUCCAUUGUUAUGUAUAUACAUGAGUCCAUUACUCUUUAAAUUAUUGUUCAAUAUAUAUAUAUAUAUAUAUAUAUAUAUAUAUAUAUAUAUAUAUAUAUAUAUAUAUAUAUAGAAUUAUUGCUCUUAUAUGGAUUAGUGAAACAAAAUUCUCCUCCAUCUCAUGUGAACUAGCUGCAGCUAUACUGUAGUAAAUAUUACUCACUACUCUCCAAAUUUUUCAUUGAAUCACUCAAGGGAGCGCACUAAUUUACACCCUCGAGCCUAAUCCUAGCAUAUAUUCAUGUGCGCGCUAAUCCUACGCACUCAUGCCCUAAUCUUGAGCCCUUUCUUCUACCCAUGACUCCUUUCCGAGUAUUCAUAAUGUCCACAAAAGUCAUUUGUAAAAGAAAAAAAAAAUCAACUCCACUGCAGUAAACGAUACGAUUUCGUAGAAUUUUCAAACCAUCACCUCUGAUACAUAAAUCAAGGUUACAUUACAUCUAUUGAAAUACAUGCGGCAUAAAGUAUUGAGAAUGUACGUAUUUUAGAAGCGCGAUUAGGACAUGUCAACCCUAACGAGGAAUGUGAGACCCUCUUUCGCAUGUUUGGGCGCUGUUUGGAUGUGUUGUGUAAUUGGAAGUAAGGAGUUUGAUCUUCUUCUUUUUUUUUUCCUUCUUAAGAUGUUUUGACAUCUAUGUUUUGAUCGGAUAGGAUAUGUUAUUCCCAAAAAAUAAAUUAAAGUCUGAAUAUAUCUAUUUUAGAUAUUUGAUCACACUCUUUAUCUAACCAAAUAAUAUAUGUGUUUUGAGUAAAUCGAAGAGGUACAUGCGAAAACAAGAUAAUCGUCCAUCCAAGCAGGGCCUUCAUGUACAAGACAUUUACGCAAAAGGAAAGUGUAGAAACUUUUUUUUUUUUUUUUGAAGAAAAUUAAACCUCUCUUAACUGUACUAAAAGUAGCUUAGUGGGGGCAUGUGUUUGUGAGUGUACAUAUAUAUAUAUAUAUAUAUAUAUUGCACUAGAUCUUGUGAUGAGAAGGGACCAAAAGAGAGAAGAUCUUUAAAACGAGCAGGUGAUGGGAGAUGGUGAUGCCCACAAAAGAUCAAGUUGGUAGAACAUGCCAAGAGCUUUUCUUUUUGCAACUAGCAGUCACCAGCAGUGGUGGUGACGCAGGUGGACCUAAGUUUACGUACAUCAUGCAAUAAUAAACACUAUGCUUGUCACCUUCAUUGUGGACCAUCUCUCUCAACAGGAAAAGAAAAGGAAACCCUAGAUACUAGCCUAAAGGGGGCAAAAAAAAAAAAGAAAGAAAAAAAAAAGAGAAAAGAGGUGGACCAUUCAUUAUCUGGGCCUAUGUCGAGAGAAAGUGUCCUAAAAGGAUAUGCACAAUCAAGUAGGUAAAAAGGUACGGAAGUUGAUGUGAAUUUUUAGAUCAUUUGACAUAUAUAUAAGAGGGAUGUACUAAUUAUAUAUUGGCAGAGAAAGUUACUGUAUUUGGUUAUUAUAUAUGCUUGUUUUUGGUUAAUUAAUGUUACUAGAUUUAGCAAAUUUGUUGUAAGUAUUUUUUGGACAACUUUUAUCUCAUCUUUAAAAUUCUGAUUUUACUUUAGAGAAAACUUCAAAUACUACUUUGUAAUCUUCUGCCAAAUUAUUGGGAUUCCAAUAGGGUUUUAGCUAGUCAUGACCUAGCGUGACGAAACAAAUUAUUAGAUAGUGAUUGAAUUAUUAUAGAGCGCAUCGAUAAUAACUUCUCAAAGCCAUCAAAUAUUAAUCUGAAUCACAAUGCCCUUCAAAAGCUAACAUUAAUGCGCAAUGCUAAGCUCUCUUCCAACUGUAAAUAAGAGUAGAAUCUGAACCAUAAAGAUUAUACAACUAAAAUAUUUAUACGAACACGAGUACCAUUUCACAAGAGCUUAACAAUAUAUUGAUGAUCAUCUCCCAUGCAAGGAAAACUCAACAUGGAUGAAGUAAUUCUCUGGAUCUCGCAUAAAAACUUUGCUUAAUUUCACAGUACAUUCCGUGUUUUGGUGGUCCAUAUACAUAUAUAUAUAUAACUUUGACCGUGGCAAUUAACACUUCACUACGUACGUACUCUUGUUUACAAUUUUUACCCAGUGGGGGGGGGNGGGGGGGUCUAUAUAUUAACCUUUUGAGGCACUCGUGAAUGAAUGGACCCACUCGAGUGUACCAUCGCUUACUACCUGGUCCUAUAAAUAUUUUUUCAGUGAUGAUCAAUCAUCAUAUAUAGAGUCAUAGCUUAAUAAAUUUAUGCCCAGAUGUUGGCCAUUAUCAACUUCACUACAUGAAGCCAACAGUUUGAUGGCUAUUGAACAUUUGAACGCGUCAGUGUCAAAGUUUCAGAGCCACUGAUCGCAUUAAGUGUUCAUACUUCGUGCGCAGAUACAUAAUGAGUGGUGUACUUUUAGCAGCAUCAUUUAAAGGAGUGUUUGUUUUGAAGUAAAAUGGUAACAAAUAAUUUUCUUGUUAAAAAAAAAAUAGUGGAAAAGAAGUUUAACUUUUUGUAUGUUUGAUUGGUAAGAAAAAAAAUAAAUAAAUAAAUAAAUUUAUGCAGCUUGAUUGUUCGUUUUCUACCGAAAAUCAGCAAAAGACGAAAGCACUUCAUUUUUGAAUUCUAUAAUGCUCAAAAUGGUCCCUCGACUGUACAAAAUGCUCAAAAUGGUCACGAAAAAUUACCAGAUUCAAAUGCAACCCAUAGAUGAAUAACAAAAGUCUCUCGAGAGAUUGCGGUCGCUAUGAAUAAUAAUAAUAAUAAUAAUAAUAAUGAAUCAAAUCGAUCUAAAGCCCUAACACUCCAUUUACAAACAAAAAUUUUCUAUUCAUCUCGCUGUACUGAGGAAUGAAUGAAACAUCAUAACCCUGUGAUGUUAAUUGCUAUUGCUACUAUACAAGAAAGAAAGAAAAAGGAAAAAAAAAAAAGAACUAUAACAAUGUUUGUUAGUAGGGGACUAGAAGAGCACCAAAUGGAUGGAUGAAAAUGCGUCAUCUCCUGCCAUGAGCUUUUCACAAAUCACAUUGAGUUACAAGACCAGAUCUCUUCGGAAGGGCCGUCCCUGGGAAACAAUUAUGUAAAAUGAAAAAAGAAAAAAAAAAUCAAGUAAUACGGAAAAAUUCCACCAGAAGAGAACCCCGAUAUUCCCUAAUGAUUGAAAACAAAGUGCCACCACCUUUUUUUAUUCUUCGUUCCUGUUUCUGAUGUUGGUAAUUCUGCACAGGCACAAAUAUACAGGGUUAAUCAACCAAACUGGUUCUCAAAAGAGAGACAAAGGCGUAAACGUUACUGUUUGUAUAGGCUAUUUUACUGCAAGUUCAUUCUCAUGCAAUGACAAGAGGAUAUAAGAGAGGAUUUGUUGAGGUUUGGAGAAAAGGAUGCAAUCUGAGCAUGUUAAGUUACUUCAAGUAUAUAAAAGAUAAAAUUUGUCAACAAAGGAAAAUUUAAUUUGUUAAUAUGAAUGAUGAAUCCAAUCCUAUACACUGCACUUCUAAUCAAGCCUGGUACCUAAACAACUGCUUUUCAGAGUAAAAACAAGCACAAACUUUUUGUUAUGAUAUAAAGCCCGAAUAUUCGGAGAUAGAAUUACCAAGACAGCCACAACUUUUUACGUCGGCAAUCAGAAAGAACUAGGAAAUAGGCAUAAACUAUAUAACAGUCUUCAUUGAUUAUGAUAGUUUGGAUUAGGAAUUGAAGUAGAUGAACAGAUAACAGCAGAAUAAAAAUUAAUCCCAUGAUUUUGGUAAGAAGUCCAAAUGAAUCCCUCAAAGUCAGAUUUGUGCCCAGCUAUAUAUAGAUUCUUGAAAAGUGAAUGACUUCGGAGAGGUAGUAUGUUCUGGUUUAUAACUGAGAGUUUAAGGGAGGAAAAAAAAAAGAAAAAAAAGAGCAAGACAAGACAAAAGACGGCGUUACCUCCUUCUGGAUAUAUUGAGUUGUAGUGCACCUCAGCCCAGAAACUCAAGAAUAUCACUGGAAAAGAGCAAGAUAAUACAAGUUAUGGAACUACCAAAAUGUAUAAAAAGUGCCAUAACAUGUAUCUUCCAAACUUCAAUAAGAUAAUAAAUUAUAAAUGACAAUAGAAACAGCUACAUAUGAAUCAAAAUUUUCAUGUAAUUACAAGCAUUAUUGACUUCACAGAAGAAUACAAGACUCGCCGUAAACUCGUACAAAUUCUGUGUGUUAUGAAAAUUUACACACAUACAUUGGCCUCACAAGACAGCCAUGACUACUCACAGUUGAGCUUAGAAGCUCUUAAGUAGAAGAGUUGAAUGUAAUGCAAAAACAAAUGCUUCCUGUUAUUUAAAAAGCAGACCAGAUUUCAAAAUCGUUGAUGUGGUUGGGCAUGAGCACUUUUCAGCACAAUUCUCUAAGUCCUUCCAAUGGGUUGCCCACUACCAAAGGGGCAGUAAAGAUUCUAAAAUCGGACACCAUAUAUGGAAAGAAACACUACUAUCCAAUGCAAAAAUCAACUUACUGAUUGAAAUCUUUUAUUUAAUCAAGUAACCAAAGAUAACAUAGAUACCUCGUUUAGACUUCUGAACAUCAGGCAGUAUUUCAAUGUAGCAUGUAUCCCUGAAUGAUGUAAGGAUGAAAAUCUUGACGCCAUACUGCAAACGUGAAUUUUUGUACAAAAUCAGCACAAAUAUUAGGACAUAUUGAAAGCAUAAAAGUCCUUAAAAAUGUACAAAAGCCUAGUAACUCAUGAAUCUAUUUGAAAAUAAAUAAUGAAUUUUCUAGAUAUACCAUGUUUUGGAACAAAAAGCAUUUGAUACGGUGAGAGGAAUGUUCUAAUAUUACAGCAUAGAGCAACCUUUUGCCAACGCUAAUAAAAUCUCUAAACUUUAGUUGGCCAUAAUAAAUUUCUCGUGUUGUUAAGAUAAACACAAACUAAUACAGAUCGCAUGCACCACUACAUCUCUGUUGUAUCCUACAAGCAGAAGAACUGUGUAUGACAGCACAAAACCACAAGAAAACCACAAGUUGAAGAAAUGUACUAAAAGACACAAGUAAACAGUGUGCACUAGCGACGGUGUAUCUAUGUUGGUCUGAAAUAUGGUUAAAGAAAUACGGAGAACAUAGCUAAAAAGCACCAUUACCUUGAAAAGCUAAACAAAGAGAACUAAAACUAGAUAAAUACAGUUAGUGAGAACUCAGUGCAUGCAGAAAAUAAUUGGGACAAGUCCCAAAACCUUGUAUAGCAAGAUAAAGAACCUAUCCCAAUGUAGUAAUGUUAUAAUCAUAUAUGGUCUGCAACUACAAGCAAACGUAGGUUUUCUUUUUUUUUUUAGUAUGGAUAAUGAAUGUGGUCUACUUAGCCAUAACACAUGGGUUAAAAAGGAAUCUUUCUAUAAAUAUCAAAUGGAUAUAGAUUUUCUCCAUCACGAUAAGUAGCAAAGAGAAAUGUUUCAGUCUGUUAGGCCCCAUUUCAAUAGUACCAAAACAAUAUAAAAGUCACAGUACCUACCUUUCCUUUAGAACACCAAAGCCUGUCCUUCACCUACUAUUAGGCUACUCAGAUGGCUGCUAUACAAAUAGUCUUCAUUACAAUAAACCAAUUAUACUCAUAAAUCAUCAGUCGACAAAGAUGCUUUUAUUAGUGGUUCAAAGGCUCAGCAUUUGAACCAACUUUUCAAAAAGAAUCCUUUAAUGGCGAUGACUACGCAAAUAACCCCCCCCAUAUCAACCACAACGCAGACGUAUAUAACAAAAUUUCUGGACAAGAAUAAAAUUCUUAUUAUAACGAAAUGAAAAGUUGACGAAGUUAAAAGAAACAAUGUAAUAGGAAAAUACAGUGGACCUACCGAGUCAGCAGCAGCUUGUAAUGUGACGUGAUCACCCCAUUCACCACUCCUGCUUGUCAGUGCAACAUGGUUAAAAUGGAAGCAUUACUUCAUAAGCUGUUAGCAAACAGCAUCAUCAGUUAAAAAACAAAAAAGUAUUAUAACUCACUUGGACAUCUUUUCCAGAUAGUCAUCAUAGGCCAUAGGAACAUAUCCUUCAUACAUCUCUCGGUGAGACUUUAGCUGAGGAUCAAUUGUAAGAGAAGAAGACCACCAAAUCAAGAUGCAAAAUCGCAACACUCUAAACCAAAAUAAUAGUAUUACGACGGCUAGGAAAUAAAGGGAAAAUGCCAUACAAUUAAAGAAUAAUAGGUCAAAUUAAAUGUAUGAAGUACAACAUUGCCUAACGAGCCAACCUGAUUGACAACUUGCUGCCUCACAAAAUCAUGGUGUUCAGUAGUACGGUAAAACUGAUCUGACAGCGCUCUGAACUGGAAAGAUAAAGAAUUCAGGAAAGAGAAACUGACGAUAUCAAAAAACUUGAAAGAAAUAUAGGAAAACACCAACAGAGCAAACCGAUAAUAUCAUUAUGAUGCUUUUUCAGUACAUGUCCCAUCUACUUCGAUGGUUUUCGAAUUAGCUUUAGCUCGUCAUGUAAAGUGUAUAUGUUAUUGGAUAGAUAAUUAUGGAGCAUAAACUAUUGUUUUAUGCUUUCAGUCUUAUUAAUAGAAAAUAAAGUUAACUGACCUGGCAAUUACCAUCUCCCUGAACCUUACGUUCAACCAAAUCAUAUAACUGCAACCUACACAAACAAUAGAUUCACCAUAAAUAGGCAGAAAAAUGAUUACAGACACAAAGGCGCUGAAUAGCUAUAGAUAUAUGAGUCAUCUUCAAUCACCAAUAUUAACAACCAGAUGCAAGCACCGCCAUAAUUAAGUAAUUAAUGGUGGCCAUGGCACUGUCACGAUGAAUUAACUAAGCUCUCCCUAAAACCAAGUGGGAUAAGUCUGUCUUAACUUAUGAUGAUCAAAGAAUUACUUCAACAUCGCAAAUACUACCCGACUUGCCCGGUGGACAAUUCACUUAUGAUACAAAUAUGCAGUAACAACAAACUCAAUUUAUCAGUAGCCUAAAAAUACAUAUUGCUUAAUGAUAAAUUACAUGAUUCUCUUUACCAGCCCUUGUCUUUUGACCUUUAGUAUUUCGAAAAUACUUUUGAUACAUUUAUUUUAUAUACCUUCUAGUCAAUUUUUUAUUACAAAGGUGUAGUUAUUAAGUGCCCUGUACUUAAAAAGAUAUUUGGAUAAAUUACAAGACAGAAUCACUUACAGUCUCAUAAACAUAUUUUUGAUAUACCUCUUUUACUGACAUUAGGCAUUUAUGAUUUGUGUAGCUUCAGUUUAUUUGCUACAAAAACUAAAUUCAAAAUCAGCCUAUUAUUACCAACUUUUAGAAUACUAUUAUUGAUUUAUUAGGUUCAGAUAAUUACUUACAGAUACAUUAAAUCGAUUAGGUCUAAUAUUGGCAUUAUAAUUAAUAUCAUCUAUGACAAUUUAAGAUAAAGAAUACAGUCUUACAAGGAGAUAGAAUAUCUAUUAAUUCAGCAUUACCUUCCAAGAAGCCUUUGGUGAUCUGAAGUGGCUUCAUCAACAGAAGGAAUUUCUCCAUUUAUCCUAGGAACGUGCUGUAUUGCAAACAAUCAGAAAGAAAUUUUUUAAAAAAAUUGCAUGUACAUCACUACGCUACCUCCAAAUGACUAGAUCAGUUAUAUUAUAAUGCCCAAGAUAAAGAUAAUGGCUACACAGAAAAUCUCAAAAUAUGAUGAGUUAAACCUCCUAUCCAGAUAAAUUUUGUUAUGCCAAGACAAUAAUGACAAGUGAGCAUACAAAGACCUUCGUAAGUUGAACAAAACUUAAAACCACGUACAAAGGUACUACUGAAAAUUCAGUUUAAUGUAAAGUUUGAUCCUAGAAGAUCAGCUAGUAACAGAUACUUAAAAAGGAACAAAAUACUGGCAUGAGACUAUGACAGAUAUGAGUUACAUAGUGAUCUGUUCAGCAAGAAUCUUCUUUCUAAAAAUCUUCUUUCUAGACCUCUUAAACCAAUACCAUGCUACAAUUUAUUCACUUUAGCAAGUUGCAUUUAACAUUUUAUGUGCAAUUAGGUGCUACACUAUUUUCUACAAAAGAUGCAUCUUCAAGUUGCAAAUUGAUAGGUAAGGUUGCCAACUAUUAGGCAUUAAGUUUUAACGAGUAUCUUUACUUAAUAUAAAACAUGAAUCAUCUAUAACAAUUUUAUAGGACGUUCAAUUAAAACUUCAUGAGGGAAUGAAGAAAUUAUUCAGGAUCCACUCUUCAAGUCAACCAUCUUCUCAGUCCCAGAGACUUUUUUGUUUCUUUUUUAUUUUAAGUAAACACACAUGGAGAUUCCCUCAGGUCUCAACCUCAACUAUAGGUCAUUUUGAAGUAGGCCCCCACACUUUUUUGUUUUUGCUUUGAUUUGAGUUGGUUUAGUCAAUUGAUGGAAACUCAUAAAAAUUAACGGCACCUUAUUAGCUUUUAAUCAUUAAUUACUAUGGAAAUCCACACUUCAUCCAGAUGAAAUGUAGCUAGAGAAGAAGUCAUCUUUCAAACGAAAAAAGAAGAUAAUGAAACUCCAAAAGCUCGGAACUUACAGCAAUAGGAACUAGUCGAUCGAAUCUUUUGCCUACUUCACCAUCUAAAGCAGAAAAGUCAUCCGUGAGCUCUAUAAACACUGUAUUGUCAUCAUGCGACUUUUCACCAGGACUUGAACAAGAACUGGUGGUUCCCAUAUCUUCCCCACCUUCCACUAUGCACCGUAAAUAAGAUGGCCGAAUUAAAAGAAUUGCAGGAGAGGAAUAAAACGGCUAUGGUACAAAAGAAAACCCAAAUAAUAUAUACCCGAAACUAGCUGACUCAUAGGUGGGCCAGACCAAUCUUGCAUGAGAAUGGAUGCAUGCAGUUGUUGUUGAUCUGCAUGUGAAUAUCCAGAUGCUUCAGCGAAUGCAACCUGAGAAAGUUCUUCCUGGUAAACAUGUGCAAUAAUCUCAUCGUUCUCCACUACAGAGUGAUCUGUUCCAUGUUUACUUUCACCGGUGUAAUCUCCGUUGUAUAUACUGACAUCAAUUUGACUUGUGCUCCCACAAUCCACAGAAUCGGCAGAUGGGUCCCCUUGAAGAAGAUGGAGACCCCACCGGACAAGAUCGGGAUCUUGCUCACACAUAAUCAUCAAUUUUUACUUUGUAACCUCCUUGAAGAAUACCAGGUCAGAUCUAUGAAUAUCCUCAUCAAGAUUAUUGAACACGGAUUCUUUAUGUCAAAAUGAGCGAUAAUCAGUAUGCGGCCGUUCUUUGAAUAGUUAUUUAUACAAAAGCAGCACGUGAAACGUAUUUCAUGUAAAAUAAAAAUAGGAAAUGUGCGGCAACAGACGUCGAUUCAAAUGCCAAAUAGUCAUAGUUAGAGAACAAAUCAUAUAUACAUAUUUACUUAGGUGGGAAAUGGAGAUGCUUACUUUUUGUAACAAUUAUCUUCAGAGUUUCUUUCGCAUGGAUCUUAAACUAAUGUGGUAAAAUUAUAUCCACCAUGUGCAAAUCAUAAUCUUGAGAACAAAUUUCACAUAAACGACACAUAAUUUCCUCUGUUGCUAUUACGAUCAUCGUAUCCUGAGAAUACAAAAGCCCUAACUAAUCAUAUCCAAGUAAAUACCCCAAAAUUGGAACUUCGUAACCCUAAGUUUCUUCGUGAACAUUUGGGCAUAACAAAAUGAGCAAUUCUACUAAUCCUAUCGAUUAUACCCCAAAAAUUAUACGAAUUUUGGAUCGUUGCAUCGAACCAUCAUCCAAAUUAGCAAAAUACAUAAAACCACGCAAAAAUCGCAUUCAAAUUAAGCAAAUUUCACCACCAAGAAGCCCAAGAAGCCCAAGAAAUCCUAAAUCAUCGGAAAGACCCUUACUUUUCGGGAAAAAAAGAACAAGAAAUCCACAAAAAACACAACAAAUAGGAAAAGAGGAACACAAAUUACUUGCGAUCGAAGCAACCACUCCACUCCUACGAGGAGAUUUAGCGGAGGAGUCGAAAGCGAAAGGCGAUCUCUUCGAAACCAAGCAAUAUAUAUAUAAUAGAGAUAGAGAGAAACCAAAAAGGAAAAAAAACGGGAAGGGUUUUGUUCGGGACGCGACGAAUUGAAUUAUAUAUAGUGCACUGGGGAGGUGUACACCAAUAAAAUAUCGACACGUGGUGAGAGACAAAGAUGGUCAGGUUAGUUGCUACGUGGCGGUGGAUGAAUGGAUAAUAUUACUAAUAAUCGCCACCGAUAAAUAUUUGCCUACACCUAGCUCACCACGUCAUCCGUAGACCAUCUUCUUUUCUAAACUAUACUCCAAAAAUUUCCCGUGCAUUGUAACUUGCCGUAUGCAAUUUAAAAAAUUAAAAAUUUACCGCAUAAAUUGUAAUUUUUUUUUGUAUAAUUCUAUUUGUUAAUUAUGUACUAAAUUCAACCAGACGAAGGUAUAAAAAAGGAUAAAUUGGCCAUUUUAUUUAUAAAAAAAUUAAUAUACGAUUACCGAAAUAUUAGUUUGGUUUGGAUUAUAAGGGAGCUUGUAUAAAGUUAUUGCUAGUUUUUUAUAUUAUCUAGUUUAUAUAGUAAAUUGCAAUUUUAUCAAGUAAACUAAAAUUUACAUUUUUUUUCUUUUUAUUAUGGUGUGGUAGAAAAUAUUUUCUAUGACAAGUAUUUUAAGUAAAAAUAGUCACAGCAAAUUAAAAUCUGAUUAUCUUGUAUGAAAAGUAAAAAUAUUUAUUUUGUCAUUAUUUCAAAAGAACCGAUAUUUUUCAAAACUAAUUUUGAUAUUGUCAAAAUAAAUAAAUAAAUAUAUAUAUAUAUAUAUAUAUAUAUAUAGAGUAGGGAGCACUUUGUACUCAUAAGUUUUUUUGAGAGAUAGAUAGCACGCUACCCGCUUCGUUUAUUUUAUUUAGAAAUAAACUUAGCUAGAAAUGUGAAUCAACUAGGAUUCGAAUUUGGGUCUCGGGUAUCAAUCAUCAAGCCCUUUACCACUUGCUCUAGGGACGGUCGGUCACUUCAUACUUAUAAGUUGUUUUCGAUGUUGGGCUUUUCGAAUCGACGAUCCACAGCGUUAAACAUGAUCUAGAGUAUUUGAAACUUCUAGAAAAUAAAUUUCGUAAUUUUUCUAAAUCAUUAUAAAGUCCAUCAAGCGGGUGUAAAAUGAAUGGUUAAAAUCGAACGACAUUCUAAAAAUGAAUGAUUGGAUUCUUCAAUUUAAGAUCGGAGUUAUUAAUCUUUAUUUAGGUAGUGAGUAGAAUUUUCUAUCAAAAAUUCAAUCUAUUCUGAUUCUUUUUCACCGUUAAACUAGCAAAUAUCUCAAACCGGCUAUUAAAAAUUAUCAAUUUUGUGAGCCUUUGAUCAUAAGGUAAAUAUUAUCGAAAAUUAUAAAAUUUGAUUUCUAGAAGUUUUAAAUACUCUAGAUAACUUUUAAUGGUGUGGAUCGUCGAUUCGGAAGCUUUAUUAUCGAAAACAACUUAUGACUACGAGGGCGAUCGGACUCAUAAAAGUAUGGUAGCUGGACUCUAUAUAUAUAUAUAUAUAUAUAUAUAUAUAGUUGAGCUAGAAUACUAUCGAUAGCAAAUAGGCUCCGUUGCCAUCCAUUUGUUUUCGAUGAUGGAGCCUCUAAAUCGAUGAUCGGCACCGUUGAACAUGAUCUAUACCAAUUGAAGUGUUUAGAAAUCAAAUUUCAAAUCUUUUCGACAUCAUUUGCCUAAUGAUCAAAAGGUUUCAAAAUUUGUAAUUUUAAUGGUCGAUACGAGGCGUUUUCUCGUUUAACGGCGUAAAGAAAUCCAAAUCAAUUGAAUUUUUGUUAGAAAAUUCUUUAAACUAUUUAAAACAAGAUCUAUACUCUUGAUCUUGAUUACAAGACUCCUAUUAUCAUUUUUUAAAGAAUAUUCAUUUUCAGCCGUUCAUUUUUGUGUCCACUCGAUGGAUAAGAGAACAAUAUCGAAAAUGUAUGAAAUUUGAUUUCUAAACACUUCAACUGGUAUAGAUCAUGUUUAACGAUACCGAUCGUCGAUUGGGAGGCUCCAUCAUCGAAAAUAAAUGGGUGGUAAUAAAGCUUGUUUACUAUCGAUAGUAUUCUAUCUCAACUCUCUCUCUAUAUAUAUAUAUUAUGGUAAAAAAUAACGUACCUUCUCUGAUAAUAUCAAAUUUAGUUUUGAAAUAUUGAUUCUCUUACUUUACUCUUUAUAUACCUCAAUAAAAUUAGUUAAUUGAGGCCGAUUCAUGACUGGUCCAUGGAUGACGUGGUGCAACAACUUCACUCAAGAAUAGGGAAACUCGCUCGCCGUUUACGUAUCUCGGUGUAACGGGGACAGGAGGGAAUGUUUAGUUGGGCACGGAUACGAGAUCUCGCCGUAGGUUCGCCGAGGGCAUACAAUCGACGAUUCUGAUUCCUUCGAUACAUAUCACGUACCGCAUACUAGCUUGGGUGUGGGCCCCACCAACAUGUCUUUGCCGACGCAGUCUCUUUUUGGAUUUUCUCAUUUUUGGUGGCGUUGACUGUGACCGCUAGUCUUGGACGGUGCAUGUUAUAUCACAUUAUCAAGUACUCAAAUAUAGAGUAAGUGUCAUGCACUUUCAAAAGUACGGAAAUCUCCGUACUUAUAAGUUAUUUUUAAUAAUAAAAAAUUUGAUUCGACGAUCGACUCCGUUAAGUAUAAUUUAUCCUAUUGGAACUAUUUAGAAACCAAAUUUUAUAAAUUUUUGACAUCAUUUACCAAACAAUCAAAAGGUCUCAAAAAUUACUAUUUUAAUAGCUGAUGUGGCACGUUUGUAAGUUCAACGGUGUAGAAAUAUCUAAAUUAGAUGAAAAUUCAAUAAAAAAUUCUACUUAACAUCAAUAAUAAGAUCAAUACUUCCGAUUUGAAAUUUGAGUCCUCUAUCACUGUUUUUUAUGAGGUUUUCAUUUUCAGCCGUUCAUUUUGAGGCUACUUGUUUAUUAGACAAACGAAAUCAAAAAAUUAUGAAAUUUGGUUUCUAGAUAGUUCCAACAGCGUAGAUCAUGUCUAACGGAACUGAUCGCCAAAUCGGAUGUCCCACUAUUGAAAACAACUUACAAGUACGGAAGCUCCCGUAUUUUGGAAAGCAUAGGAGCCUAGCUCCUCAAAUAUAUACCUAUUCAUCCAAAGAAAAAUAUACCAGGCCUUUUAAAUCAUAAAUAUAUCUUUACAGACUCUUUUAUAUUCAUAAAUUUUUGACCGCUAGAUUUAUUUUUUGACUAUUUUAAUUUGUUAGAUCAUAAUAUUAACUAAUCACCUACUCAAUUCUAGAAGACCGCUAUUAUUAUAACUGGGGACCACUAUCAUCCUAACAACACUUCUCUUCAUCCAACGGCUGAAAAUUUAUAAGUAUAAAUGAAUUUAUAUUCAUAAGAAUAUAGUAGUUUUAUUUUAUUUAUAUAUAGUAGGAUUAGGAGCACGGAGGCUUCCAUGCUCGUAAAUUAUUUUCGAUGAUAGAACUUUCGAAUUGAUGAUCGGUUUUGUUAGACUUGAUUUAACAUAUUUAAAAUAUCUAGAAAAUUAAUUUCGUAAUUUUUUGAUAUAAUUUAUCUAUUGAUCGAAAAUGUUCAAAAUCAAUAAUUUUUAAUGGUUGAUAUGCGCCGCUUGCAAGUUUAAUAUUGUAGAAGUAUUCAAAUCAGAUAAAAUUUUGACAGAAAAUUUUUUAUACUAUCUACAACAAAAUUAAUAUCUCUGAUCGAAAAUUUUAAUACUACACCAUAAUUUUUUUGAGAGAUUUUUAUUUUUAGCCAUUCAUUUUUAGUAGACCUCCAUUUUCUAGAUAACGAAAAAUUACAAAGUUUAUUUUCUAGAUAUUUCAAAUACGCUAGAUUAAGUCGAAUGAAGCUGAUUAUCGAUUCGGGAGUUUAAUUAUCAAAAAUGGCUUAGGAGCACGAAAGCCUCCAUACUCCUAAUAACAUACAAGUCCUACUAUAUAUAUAGAGUCCGGCUAUGGUGCUUGUAAAAGCACCAAGCACGUUGUGUUUGUAAAUUUUUUACCGUUAGAUUUACGUCUUUGAUCAUUUUUAUCCGUUAGAUUAUACUAUUCAACCAACCACCCACCCAACCCUACGGGGCCCACAUCAUCCUAACUGCACAUCCCUUAAUCCAAGAGCCGAAAACUUAGAAUUAAGUACCAAUGACUUAGUACUUUUAAAAGCAUAGGAGCUCAAUUUUAUAUAUAUAUAUAUAUAUAUAUAUAUAUAUAUAUAUAUAUAUAUAUAUAUCUUAACUCGAUGAUAUGAAAAUUUUCAUGAUUCUGUAACCACGAACAUUUAAAAAUCGGAAAUCUAAUUUUUUAUACACCAAUCCUACUACAUCCGGGGGAUCCCAACUCACCCACCAACCAACUUAUCAUAUUAGAUUGCCCACAUUUACUAGUUGUCACGACUAGAUUGCCAAUUUUUGGAUGUUCGUGUUUCACUAACCACGAAAAUGUUCGUGGUAUCGGCCUGAGAGAGAGAGAGAGAGAGAGAGAGAGAGAGAGAGAGAGAUAUNAUAAUUUCAUAAACAUUUUCAAGAGGGUACGAUGUUAAUGGAAAGGAUAAAAUGACCAAAUUGUCCCAACUUCUUAUAUAAGAAAAAAAUAAUUUUUUAAUAUAUUUUUAUUAUUUUAGAGGAUAUUUUCAGUAUAAAUUAUAAGAAACUGACGAAAUAGUAAUAUAACCCUAACGGAGGAAGGCUAAAUACAAUAAUUUAAAAUGUUGAGAGGAAAAUAUAUAAAUUUUUAAAAAUUAAAGAGAAAAAAUAAAAAUUCGAAUUCUUUUAAGAAGAUUUUCCAUAAUUUAGCCUUUAAAAUAAUACUAGCUACACAGCGUUCAUUUUCAUCUUUAAAAAUUUUAUGGCAUCUAUCUUUAUCGGCAUGAAUUUCAUGGGAGCAUCUUAAAUCACAUGGAUGAUAUGAUUUUACGUCCGUGCAUGUAAUUGUGCAUGGGCGUAAUAAACUUUACUAAAAAAUUGGCAAUAUUUUGAGUCCUAUGAUAUAGCAUAUUGGUUUGUGUUUUCAUUCUUAGAGAAAUAAUUUACUAGUAUGUAACCAACCGUCCUUAGCACAAAUGGUAAAGAGUUUGAUGGUUGGUAUUCGAGAUUCCAAGUUCGAAUUAUAGUUGAUUCAUAUUUCUCGAUAAAUUUAUUUCUAAAUGAAAUAAAUGAAACGAAAAAAUAAUUUACUAGUAUGUAUUUUUCACAGAUAUUUAUCUACGUUACUAAAAAAAUCAACAAAUAAUGCCGCUAAAAAUUUUAGCAACAUAUGACACCAAGUGCUAUCUAUGUCAAUAUUGCUAAAAAUAUUAGCAGCAUUUAUAAUGAAUACCGACAAUAUAAAUUAAUUAGUGUCAUUACGAACAUGCCGGUAAAAGAGAUUAAAUGCUAAUUUUAAAUUGUUUAUUAGUGGCACAUAAAUAUAAUGUCACUGAUACAAAUAUCUAAUUUUAGGAACUCAAAUUUUAAAAUUUUAAUUUUAUUUUAAAUUCAAUUUUCAAAUUUAAUUUCACACUGACGUUUGAGAGAGAGAGAGAGAGAGAGAUAGAGAGAGAGAGAGAGAGAGAGAGAGAGAGAGAGAGAGAGAGAGAGAGAGUGUGUGUGUGUGUGUUUUUUUUUUUUUAAGGAAAUUUAGGAUCAGUACAGGUCUAAUUAGAUCUUAAAUAAAUCUGAGGAUAGGAUUCCCGGGGUUCAAGUUACAUUAAAAUUUGAUCAUCUAACAUCAAAGUGUAGGAACUCUUAACUGAAGUUUCAUGAAGAAUUUAGCAAAAUAUAAUUUCUUGUAAGAUUUCCUUUCCCUAUCCUAAAGUUCAAAUACCAUAAAAAUUGAAGUGUUAUUAAUGACCAAAUAGGAUUAAAAAAAAAUCAUAGAAAUUUACAAUGGUUUGAUUAUUUUCACUUUCAAUGUUAGUGUGGCACUCAUAUAGUUCCACAUCGAAUAAAAAAAAAUUACGAUUGAAAAUAUAAGCAUCUGAAUUCUAAUAUUACUAACUAAGCUUAAAGUCUAGUUGAUUUACAUUUAUUGCCGAUUUCAUUUUUAAAAUUAGACGAAGGAGAUAGCUAGUCGAUCAGUAGUUUGAUUUAACAAAUUAUUAGAGUUAGCGGGCUGAGUAGUUAUAAUUAGCUUUUCAAAUAAAUGAUGGUUUUUAUUGUCAUUUAAGAUGUUCUCACAAACUAAAUGGACUAAAUUACUCAUGCUUCCUAUAAGUUUAAUAUGUUACGGUACCAAAAAAAAAGAAAAAGGUAGGAGAAUGUAUUGAAACUUACAACUUACCCUUCCUUGUGUCAUCAUGACACUAAACCUUCAACAAUUUUAGGUAAAAUUGACAUAUCCUCAAAACCUUUUUUUCCGUUCCUUUUGUUGAAAUUUGCGGACUCAACAAGUUUUACUCCAAAACCUAACCCCUUUUUUGUCCAAAAGUAAAACAUCGAAAGGUGAAAUUCAAAUCACUUAUUAAUUAAUGAAGAAAUAAUGUAAUUAAUUAGUUAAGAUUUGCUAAUCUUUCGUGUUCGGGUCGGGUUAGUAAGGAUUCGAAUCCAAAACCGAUAAACUAUUUUAAAUUCUUGGACCUAAUCUGCCAUGCAAUAGCGCGCCCACUACAACAUAUUUUUCCUAUAUUAAUAAGAAAAAAUAAUUUAUAUACGAUUUUAUGUAUUCAUAUUUCUCGCACUCUUCUUAUGAUGAGCCAAUUAAUUAACCUUCCAUCUCUAUUUUAAAUCCAACUGCAAUGCAGUGAGUUGUGUGAAUCUAAAACAUUUAAUGUUACGACGAGCGCACAAAAAAAAAUAAAAAACAGCGUUCACAAAAGUAGCCGAGCCAAAAAACAGUAAAAUAAAAACUUCACUAUAUAUGAAAAUAGAGUAUAAUAUUGUGGAAGUACGACGCAAUGUAUUGUCCGUAGGGCAAAAGGAAGAAAGAAGUUUCUUAACGGAGUUUUUCAGUAUCGGAUCCAAUCCGCACUACCACCAUUGAUAUCCACUUGAACCUUUACAAAUUAUUUUUCAAAAUUUAUUACACUACAAAACUGUCGGCGAAUCAGAUAACCAAAUUUUGAGGCACAUCGAACCAUUUUCGUUAAGAUUAAGUUGCAAAGGCAUUUACUUUUUUGGCGCCCCUUGACUAUUUUACUGAAUUUGUAACUUCCCCUCUACACCUCUCACCCCUCUCCACCACAUGCGUUGCACCACAAUAUUGCAUAAUAAUCACACUAAUACACUGCACCAACCUUUAAGUUUAAGCACCACAACACACACCAUUAUAACCAUUUAUAACCAUUAUUAAAAGUAAAAUAAAAUAAAAUAAUCCCUUCAACACACAAAGCUAGCUAGGUUAUAUUCAAAGCUAAGCAAAAAUAGAGAGAGAGAGAGAGAGAGAGAGAGAGAGAGAGAGAGGGAGAGAGAGGGUCCCCUCAAUAUGGUUCCACUCCAGAGGCAUAGGAAGAUAGCAUCCGACCCAUUACCAGAAGAAGCCGCCACCACCACCACCACCACCGCCCCCACCAACUUCUUUGAAAGCUACCUUACAUCGACUUCUCCAGAAGAAGAUGUUGUUAUAUCCUUCGCGCCUUCGGCAUCAUGCUCUUCCGCGGCUGCCGCUGCUGCUGCUGCUGCUGCUGCUUCUUCUUCUUCUUCAACUGCCGCCGACGACUUCUACGGCGUUUUUGUUCGUAGGCAGAGUUGCGUCCCAAGAGGCUGCUUCAGGAUGUCGACAGCGUCGUCACUGAGCCCGAAGAACUUGUUCUCGUCGUUCAUGGCGCAGUAUGGCGGCGGCGGCGGCGGCGGGGGUGCUGUGGUUCCCGUUGUAUCCGACACGGUGAGUGCAUGCUCUCGUACGUGUGCAUGGUUUUUUUUUUCCUUUUUUUUACACUUUUGGCCCUCAAAUCAGACUAAAUUAUAUUUUUAAUUCUCAAAUUAAAAAGUGGUAUCAUUUCUAUAUCAAUAACACGUUCGUGUUAAUAUGUAGUCAACUAAAUUGGAUUAUGUAACAACUUAGAAUGAUCGGAUUAAAAAUAACAAUAAAUUAAAAUUUGAAGACAGAGUGUCGUGCCUCAAAGUUUGAGGAUCAAAAGUACCAUUAGUAAAGAUAAUAACUUAAAUUAUGUUCAACUAUUGGCAUUAUUAAAUAUGAUUUAAGGCAUUUCAACUUUUUAGGUUUGAAAAUUUUAUAAUUUUUUGAUACCAUUUACUUAGUGUACAAGUGGUUCAAAAAUUAAUAAUUUUUAAUGGCUAAUAUAAGGGGAAUUUGACACCUCUUGAUGGCUAGGCAAAUGAUGUAUAAUACCCGUGCAUUUAUAAGUGAAGCCAAUAUUGAACAGUGUAAUGAAUAUGUAAGCAUAUUUCGCAUAUGGUUCCCAAUUGAAUUCUGAAUAUUUGUUUAUGAUCUAGACAUCUAAAUGUAUUUGAAAACAAAAUUUUACCUAAAUUCAUUCACCCAAGUUGCUAGCUAGUGCUAAUUAUACAUAUAUGUACAUAUAAAGCCCUCUAACUCUCUCAUCUUAUUUGAUAUGAGACUAUUAGAAUGUUACACUUUAAGCAGUACGGCUGAUAAUUAAGUGUUAUCUUUGAUUUCUAUAUGUUUUUUAAGAUUUUCAUGAUUAAUAAUGUUCUUGACCCUAUAUAUUAACAGAGAAAGAGGAGUGCAAGCAUGCAACAAAGAAGGCUUGAGCUUGAAGAGGAGGUAAGAUGGUGAAAAACACCUCCCUACAAUUUGUCCUUGCCAUUCUGUUAUUAGUAUAUAUCUGUCUUCUCUAAUAAGUAAUGCUACAUCUUUGACCCGAAUCUGCUUUCAAGUCACGAUCGUCAUUAGUAGAGUAUAUAGUAAACAGAAAGUAGAAGUUCUACAAGAUGUCUUAAAUGGAGGUCCACGUGUGAAACCUCAGAUAGUUCUCAAUACGAAUCUCAAUGUUAGGUUGCAUACUAUUCAUUAGCUUAGACCUAGGCCUCCUAGUACGAGGACUCCUAACGAAUAUUUGUUUGUGCUUCUAACAUAGGUUCAGUAAGGUCUGAGCUGUCGAAUAGCACUCUGUACGAAUUUCAAUGUAAGUUGAGUUCUAUUUGACGUCCGCUAGCUAGCGGAGGCCUCUAUUGCAAAAGGAAGUUAAGGAGGAUUCAAUUUUAAAAAAAUUACAAGUGAUUCUCCUUGUCGAUUUACGCAAGCAGCACUCCUGCAGAAGCUCUUAGUGGGGCAAAAUCAUGUUAGUUUUUCUCUGCAGGGUUAUACAUGAAAAUAAACCCUAUUAUUUCUACUUAGAGCAGUGUUCUUUAUUGCUAGUCAAGUUGGUCAAGCAAUUAGCAUCAUCUAUAUGCCACUAAACAUUAAAGUUGAUAAACUAAUUGAAGCCUUACCUUCAAAGUAAAAGUUGCAAAAGCAGCCAAAAAAGCAAUUAUUUCUACCUCAGGGAAAAGUUAUUUGACAAGGCAAUUACACCAAACAUUUCUCUGUUUGCAAAAAAGCACUUCACUUUGGAAGCUGCAAAAGAGCUUCAAUUUGCAAUAAGAAACAACAUAAUUACUAGUGAAUUCUUAUGAUUUUCCUUCUUAUGAUUAAUGUAACAAUUGAACAAAUGAUGCAAAGCAAUAAGAGUUAGUUUAUCCGAAACCGAAGAAAAUUAGAAAAGAGUCUCUGUUUGCAGGUUGCUCAGCUUCAGAAAAUACUCGAAGACGAGAAGAAGGUGCACGAUAUUCUGCAGCACGCGUUGCUUCCGCAUUCUACGCGCUUCACACUUCAAAUCCCUGACUUUGUUCCGCAGGAGGUAGUCUUUAUUAACAUCUCUAGAAACAUUGUUGUUUCGAGUUAAAGAACAACGAUUUUGAAAAGUAGCUACUUAGUAAGGUCUUAAAAUAGUAACUUCGACCACUUGACAUGAUGUUUGAUCGAUAAAGGGGCAAUUGAGUUGCUCAACAUGAAGGGUUAUGCUCGAUUCUAAGCAUUUGAGUAAAUCCAAUUCUUGUAUAUUUGGAUUGCGCAGGCGAAAAAAACACUAGCAGAGCUCAUGGUGGUGGAAGAAGAGAUAGCGCGGCUUGAAAGUGAAAUAAGAAUUACUCAAGAAGGCCUGCGCAACGUCCGCGAAACUCGAUUGCAAGCAGCUAUGAAGCUAAAUGACUUCAAGCAUCUGAACACCUCGGCGAUGAAUUUAACUCGAGAUCGUAAUUUCCGAGAAAUGCAGGGUAAGAUAGUGCAGGAAACAAAGUCUAUGUUCUUCAUAAGCCAAGCCAUGAAAGGAGAGUAUUUGCAUCAUCAAUUGAGUGAUGAAAGAGGUAGUAGAAACUUCGUUAAGGUGCAUGAUAAGAAGGAAAGAUCAGCUGUACUUGAACCUAAAGAGAGGAUUCCGAGGAAAAGCGGAGUGCUACCGAAGACAUCUUCACCGAAGUUGCCUCUGAAACAACCGACAAAUAAAGUAAGCGAGCGUCCCUUUUAGUACACUUUAUUCAGUCAAAAUAGCAAUGUCGUUGCAAUUUGCGAAGCUGUUAAAAGGAUCUGUUGCUGCAUUAGAUCGUAUUAAGUCGAAGUUCCGAUUGCAUGUUGUUACAAGAAACUUCAAUUCUCAUUUAUUCUUCUGCACAUUUUCUGUAGCCACUGGAAUCUGAUGCAGAAAAGCUGCUGAAGAUCUUUCAGGAACCUUCCAGCAUUGCAAGCUCAAGGGAAAAGGAGUACCAAAAGAUCCAACCAAACAAGUUAUCCGAGAAAAUCAUGAAGUGCCUGAUUUGCGUCUUCUUAAGGUUAAUAAGAACGUCGCGAGUAGCUGAGCUCGAGAAAUCGAGCAAUUUGGCAAGAUCUACAACAUCUUUUCUGAAAUCUGGAAGCUUCAGAAUGGACAGCAGUGUGAAUCUAACCGCAAGCCUUUCGAUUCAAAAGGAGAAAGGCCAGCGAGAUCCUUACGGAAUUUUCGAAAUUGAGGACUCUCUUCUACGAGAUAUCGGUCCUUACAAAAAUCUUGUUAGAUUCGCUUCGAAUUCAUUCGAAACGAAGUGCAUUUCUACUUCUUUUCCCCUGCUAAAUAAGUUAAGGUAAUUCAUGUUUCUUAUCAAUCAAUCAUUGUCCACAAAUAUAUAUAUAUUCACAAAUUAUGGGUACUACUCCAAUUUUAUCAUAUGGCAGGGACAUGAUGAAUUCUUUACAUCAAGUGGAUUUAAGAUUUUUGACACACCCUCAAAAGUUGGCAUUUUGGAUCAACAUGUACAACAUCUGCAUCAUGCAUGUAAAGUGCAUUGUCGCAAUUACAAUUGAUCAUUGCUUUCGUCCAUUCGACGAAUGUUAUUGAUGUAUGUGAUCUUCUAUAGGGCUUUCUACAACAUGGUUUUCCCGCAAAUUCGGAAAAAAGACUCGAAUUGCGAACUAAGGUAACUAAGAUUCCUCACUGUACUGAAUCUUGAACUGUUCUACGAUAACUACCGAAAAAAUUUUCGCUCGCCCAGGCGGUUCUCAACAUCGGAGGCAAUAAACUUAACGCUGCAGCGAUCGAGCAUUUCAUACUGAGACAACCAUUAAAACUGAAAGAAGUGAGUUUUACAAACUAAGGCUUAUAAACAUCAUCUUUUGAUCACUGUAAUAACCUUGUAAUAUUACUUUUGCAGCAGGAAUUUUGGAAAGGUGACAAGGAAAAUCAAGAAGAAACAGUGCGAAAUAUUUACGGAUUGGAACAUCAAGAACCAAACAUUGCAUUUGCCUUGUGCAGUGGAAGUAGAUCUUCUCCAGCUGUAAGUGUGCUUAUUGUUGUUGUCACAUUAAUUAAUAUAUUGUUACUAAAAAAGGUUAAAUUUUGGACACAAUUAUUCCUGGAAACAUUCAGUUUGAACACAUCUUAAAAUUGUUAAAUAUAAAAAUGUUUAAACACCGUUCUUUAACAGCGUAAGCUUUUAAAGUACAACGGUUGUUUCACAUGGUACUAGAGCAGGAGGUCCUGAGUUCAAGUCACGUCAGGCUCCUAACAUAUUAAUUUCCUCCCAUUUAAUUUAAGCCCACGUCAUAGGCCAACUAAAAAGUCUCGAGCCCAAACGUGAAUGGGCGUGUUAAAUAUAAAAAUGUUUAAACAUCGUUCUUUAACAACUUAUGCUUUUAGAGUACAACGGUUAUUUCAUAAAAAUAGAAUGAAGUUAGCGGGUUUGGGUUUGAUCCACUUAAAGCGAAUUUGAUUAUCAUUUUUAGAUUGAACUGGAACCGAAGAGGUCUCUGAUAAAAAUUGUGUGGCUUUCCAAAUUCUUCUGAGUUCUCCACCUAAAUUAUCAUCUAAAUAUAGAAUAACCUAAAAUUGAAGUUUAAUCCAUAUACUACCAUUUCAAUCCCCUUUAUUUGGAGAUUAAUUAAGCAACAAAAAAAAAGAGAAUCUAUAAUAAGAUUGCAAUGCCCCGAUAGUCUCACAUUAAAUGAAAAAAGGGUUCUGAUUGAAAAUAUAAGAAAUCGUGUUUCCUAACAAUAAUAACUGAGCUUAAGUAGUUUGGGCCAGUGAUUUGGUCCCAACAAGUUAUUAUUAUUAGGUCAGAUCGUUACACUUAAUAUCAGAGUCGAAUACCAGUCGAAAGUGUGAGAGCUAAGUGUUAUGUGGCUCCUUCUGAACCUGUAUGAACUAUGAACCACCUAGUAUUCUAGUCUAUAUGUCCGUGAUAAACGGUGGAAAAGGGUGGAAAAGGAGUUCUGAUUGGGAAUAUAAGAGGCUGCGCGCCCUAAUAAUAAUAACCGGGUUUAAAUAUUUUGAGCUAAUGGUUUGAUCUCAACGAGUUAUUAUUAUUAGCAGAUCAGGUCCUUACAAAAGGUGGUUCAAUAGCUUAUCAUUUCAACUUUUUUGACUCACUACAAAUAUCACAUUCCACAUCAUAUAUAGUAUCAGAUCGUUGGCACCGACCAUUAAUUCCAAAAGCUCGAACUGUUAGAAAUACGCAACCAAUUCACUUAAAACGUAUAGAUACAACGCUCAUAGGUCUCGAUUGUGACUCGGCCCAACCAGCCUCACGCCACUUCGAACAUGACUCGACCCAACCCAGCCUCAUGCUAUUUCGAACAUGACUCGGCCCACAUGGCCUCCCGCCACAGGGCAGGAUGCUGCCUUAUUUAAGCCAACAUAUAGUACCUCUACUAGAAAUAUAACUUGAAAUUAAUUUUAUGCAGAUGAGGAUAUACACAGGUGAUGGUGUUACAAGGGAGUUGGAAAAAUCAAAGUUGGAGUAUUUACAAGCUUCAUUAGUGGUAACUUCCACAGGGAAAUUGAUGAUCCCAAGCCUCAUACAUUCCAAUAUGAGUGAGUUUGCAAGUGACUUGGACUCAUUGAUGGAUUGGAUAAUAAACCAACUUCCUACAUCUUGGUCUUUGAGGAAAUCCAUGGUUGAGUGCUUGAAGAGCCAAACCCAGAUUAAGAUAAAUGAAGUUGUUGGUGUAAUUCCAUUUGAUAAUGAUUUCCAAUAUCUUUUACCCAUGUGAGUAAAAAUUUUGUGUGUUUGUUGAUCAUGAUAUGAUAAGAGAGAGAAAUUUGUGGGCUUUGUGUAAUGUAUGGAUUUUGCUUUUUUCUUCUUUGGAAGUGGAGCUUGUGAUGAUUGAAUGUUACUCCAAUUUUAAGGUAUCCAUGUAUUUCACUAAUACAUAAAAGUUCCAUUCCCUUUUAUCUUUUUUUUCACUAAAUCUAAUUCAUUGCAAUAUUCAGAAUGUAACAUUAUGUACGAAAGCAAAUACGAUAUUCGCCCAUUCUAGAAUUUUCUCAACACACGUAACAUAAUUUUAAUUUCCGCAAUUCCAAAUGGAGCUGUAAUAUGGUAAAAAUUCAUCGCCUCACUAACUAUGUGAUUUGCACUUUAUCAUCAUGUGAUUUCAUGUAGUGCGGAGAGUGCGGUGUUUUUUUUUUUUUUCCUUUUCUCUGUCAUUUCAAUUUCCAAUUUUUUAUCUCAUACUAAAUGGGCUUGGGCCGUGUAUCCAACUCAUCCAAAAAGGACACUACAAUAUAAAUAGUAAGAAGCAAGGGGAGCAACGCGCAAAAUUCCCGGGGCUUUUUUACGUGUACGCUCAAUCUACCGCGGAAAAGAUAAAUUUUAUGUGGACCGGGUUCAUCCCAAUAUCUCAUACACCCAUUCUAAAAAUCCGCUCCACAAACGAAUAAAAAUAAAAACCCCCUUAAAAAUAGAACAUUAUUAUUACGUCAUAUAGACUAAAAAAAAAAAGAUAUUUUAUUAAAUUAAUUUAACAAUUUUAUUAAAUGAGCUAACGGAGUCAAAUUUUACUUAGAUGAGUAAACUAAUAAUAUUUGCAAAACUUUUUACGAAGUUUUACAUUAGUAAGUAUUCAAUAAUUAUCUCAAAUUUUGAACUUAACUGAGUUAAAAAUGAAUAUAAAGUAAAGGCAACUUUUAAUGCAAGGAAUAAUUCAAAUAUAAGCUAAAAUACAAGAAGAAGUUUUGUAAUUUAGCCAAAAAAAUUUAGAUAUCAAUCAUUUAUUGAUCAUUGGACUUUUGGGAUUAUAUAAUUCAUUCAUUAUAAACUUGCAAAAGUUGUAACAUUAUAUUUAUAUAUAUUCUUUAAAUAUUAUUGAUAAUAUUUUUUAAUUAAAUUAUAAUUUAUUUUAGAAUAAACGUCAAAUACCAUCUAUGUGAUUUUGGUUUCGCACUGUUUCAUUUUAGUGCUAUGUGGUUUAAGUGUAUCAAAUUAGUGUCUUGUUAUUUUAUUUUUAUCUUUUUGUCAGUUUUUCUGUUAAUAUUUCGUUAAAUUAUAUACAAAAAACUUCAUACCCCACUUAGGUUUAUCGAAUAUCCUUUAGUUUUAAUUUUGUCAUUGCUUUAACAAAAAAAAUAGUGGAAUCAUAAAAAAUAAAAAAAAAUAAAAUCAUAAAACAUUAUUUUGAUACACGUUAAAUUAUAGGAUACUAAAGUGAGACAGUGUUAAAUCACAGGAGUGAUAUUUUACUAUCCCACUAAACCAUAAUACGAAAAUCAAAAUUUAGCCUUUAAUUUAAUUUUAUUAAUAAUCAAACAAUUUGAUGCGGUGUACUAUACAAGUAUACAUACGGAUAUGCCGCAGUUCAUACUAAUCCACAAAUGAGCUGUAAUUUCACAAAUAAUAAUAAUAAAAUAAUAUAUAAUAUAUAAUAUAUAUAAAUUAGUAACAUCGAUAAUUAGUUACCUGCUAAUAAUAAUACGUAAAAAUCGGUUUCAAUUAUCAUUCGAUCCCGACUCUUCUCUUCUCCACCAUUCACCUCAAUCAUUUCCAUCCCCCAAUUCCCUCCUCCUCCUCCUCCUCCUCCUCCGCCCCCGAAACCCUAGCGAGCGCCCCGCGCCGCGUGCGCGUGGCGGAGACCCGUGCGCGAUGUACCGGAGCGUGGCCUCGGGACCCGCGAUGGCGACGGACGUCGGCGGCGGCGGCGGCGGGGCGGACGCGGUGGUCACCCUCGACCAGGUCCCGCGGUGGAGCGACGCCGACCAGCACGGCGGCGGCGGAGGCGGCGGCGAUCCCUCGGCGGCGCUGUUCUCGAGCUUCUCGGAUCCGCUCACGGCGUCCUCCGACGCCGGGGAGGCGGAUGGCGGCGGCGGCGGAGGCGUGGCGUCGAGGUUCCCGGUGGAUCACGAGAUCAAUUCCAAGAUCUACCUGUGGCGGGGCAACCCUUGGAACCUCGAGGUCGACGCUGUUGUGAAUUCCACCAACGAGGCGAGUCUUAGAAGAUCCUUCCUUGUGCUGUUUCUUUUGGAUAGGCUUACAUAAAAUGCUUUAAUUUUGGUAUUUAAUCUUUCAAUUUGUUCGACAUGAUCAAUUCGAUGCUUCUGCGGUAUAGAAUUUGGGCGUGUAAUUUCCUUUAAUGGACUUAAAUAUGUUAUGUGAUUUACGGGACUACAUUCCUGAUAAAGUAAUAAGCGUGAAACUAAAACUUUUAAAAGUUGGGUAAUUGUGCAAAAUUGGGCCAUAGUUCACCUCAAUUCUAUAUGUUUUACCUUGUUUUGGCCAAUAUCCUUAAGCGAUUCGUAGAAUUUUUGGUCUUUUGCUUCAUUUGUUGAUUGAAUUGGUUCGAUUUAUAGAGCUUGGAUGAAGCACAUAGUAGCCCUGGCUUACAUGCUGCUGCUGGGCCUGGACUUGCAGAGGAAUGCGCGACAUUGGUAAGUUUUGGAAUUUAUGUUGGAAAUGUAAGAUUUUGUUCUCGAUUAAAUUGAUCUAGGUUGGUUUUAGUAGCCAAGUUUGUCAACAGAAAGGAAUGGUUUUGAUGAAUUUUGCACAGGGUGGCUGUAGGACCGGAAUGGCGAAAAUGACAAAUGCAUAUGAUCUCCCUGCAAGGUAGUUUUGUUUUUGAAUUUUGUAGAAGGAAUUUUGUUGUCCUUUUUACGCUUGGUUUGCAAUGAUAUUUGGAGUCGAUUGAUUUAUAUGUUAGAGAAUACGAGGAAAUUGCAUUUUAAGUCAAUUCCCCUGUCUAUAGCUUUGGAAUGAAGUGGAACUUUUUCAAGGAAAUUGCACCCAGACCUACCUGGUUUAUGUUCGAAAAUUAAACCUAUGGUAUAUAUACAUUAGUAAGGACAAAUAUCAUCCCCCUAAUUUCCAAAAAAUUGGCAGCAGUAGUGUAAUAUGUAGAUGAUUGGUACAUUCAAGAUUGGUUUGUGGAGUUAAUUAAAUCACUAUCAUUGAUUCUUUCAUAUUUGUAAAUUAUUAUGUUAUAAAUUAUAUCGGAGGUGAACUGAAGUGUUGUUUCUUAAAUAUUCCUUUUGAUUAUGAUAUAGUUUUACUAUUUAGUUGUUUGUUUGUCUAAUUUUGGCUGCAGUAGCACUUCUGUAACACAUACAUGUUUGGCUUGUACAUACUCUAUUGGUAAAUGCAUUGUGAACUGGAACAAUACUGUCUUGCAGAAAGGUUAUUCAUACAGUGGGUCCCAAAUAUGCAGUCAAAUAUCAUACUGCUGCAGAAAAUGCCCUCAGUCAUUGCUAUCGAUCUUGCUUGGAACUACUAAUUGAAAACGGACUCCAAAGGUGUGGUUAAUAUUUUAUUUUACUUAAAAAGCUUUGAGUUCAUUCAUCUUACCUUCCUUUUAAAUCUCUUGAAAGUAACUAUAUGCCGUCAAUCAUUAUGUAGCAUUGCCACUGGCUGUAUAUACACAGAAGCUAAAAAUUACCCGCGUGAACCAGCUGCUCAUGUGGCAAUAAGUGAGUAACAGAAAUCUAUUUUAUGUACUAGGUGUAAAUUUUUCUGUUUUUCAUCAAUAUUAUCUUUUCAAUACUGGAACUCUCUUCCUACCUACAUUUCUUAUGCAGUUUGAACUAUAUUGUCUAGUUUUAGUUUCUAAUUUGGCUUUAUAUGGAGGGUUAAUUAGGGACAGUGAGACGAUUUUUGGAGAAGCAGAAAGACAAAAUCACCGCUGUCGUCUUUUGUACUACGACAUCAUCUGACACAGAGAUAUAUAAAAGGUACAUAACAGUAAAUUAUACCGAGAUUGAGCCUACCGAUUUGGAGUUAAAUUUAGAACUAUGGCUUGUAAUAAAAUUAUUUUUUUCCUGAUGACUGUGCGUAUGCAGAUUGCUUCCACUUUACUUUCCCAGGGAUAAGCACGAAGAAGAAAUUGCUGUGUCUAAGCUUCCAGCAGAUGUUGGGGAUGAGAAUGGUGAGACAAUAAUCGAUGAACGGAAAAUUAGAAUAAAACCAUUGCCCGCUGUUUCAACAAAUGUUCCAAAACCAUCCACGGCCCCGGUAGAUUCUCCUGUUGCGGAUCUUGGGUUGACAUUGAGGCGGUGAGAAUAAUAAUGUCAUCCAGCUUUUAUCCUGAUUUUCUUUAAUCUUCACCUUUGUUCACUUUCGUUUGUCCAAAUCAAGGGGCAACUUAUAUGAUGUUUCUUUCACUCUUUGUUGUUCUUUUUUUCUUGAGUGACUAUUGGUCGAUCUACCUCUACAGGGGUUCUUUCAAGCUAGAUUCAUAUUUGGAUCCUGCUUUUAUGUCAUUGAUUAAAGAUCCAGAUCAGCGUCGGAUGGAGCAGUGGGAGAAAGCCGCCCAAGCUCGGAGUGGAUUUAAUUGUGGCAAGCUGCUGGGAUUUGGUGAUCUAGGUGGCCCUCCGUUAUCUGCUGCCGAGGAAUACUCGCUUCAUUCUAGAUAUCUUGCUAAAGCAAAUUCUGUGAACCUCUCAGAGAUUGCUGAAAUGAAAAUUGUGUAUGUAGUAUGUUAGUGCAAUAGUUUUCUUUGAAUUGCAUCUACUGUGAUUUAUUUUUAAUUUCGUAGCAUAUCAUAAACUUCUGAUUAUGAUAUUUUCUGAGUACUUGAAAGUAAUUAUUAUAAAAGAAGUGCUUUUCCCCUGUUUUCUUAAGUUAACAAAUUACUUUUUCUUCUGAUGAUAAGUUGCUAUUGUUUUGGAGUACAGCUUGUUUUGAUAGGCUAUUAUCAGAUUGUUAAUUGAGUUUUCCAUCUGAAAAUCAGCUAUCGCGGUGGCGUGGAUAGCGAGGGGCGUCCUGUGAUGGUAAUUGUAGGAGCUCACUUUCUUCUUCGAUGUCUUGAUCUAGAACGCUUUGUCCUCUAUGUAGUGAAGGUACUAUGUUUGUCUUUAAACUUAAAAGAGUACACUGUUCUCUUAGCCCCCCUACUUCUAGCCUCUUCUUUGGUUUCACUUGUGCAUUUUCAAAUUUUUAUCAAGAUGCUUUCUGUAAUAUGAACAUAAAUUAUCAAAUUCAGUAUGUGAAAUGAACACAAUUGCCAUGAUAGUGCAUCACAUUUUUCAUAUUUAUUUAUUUAAUACCAUUAUUGCAGAAGCUGCAUCUUGUGUUUUUUCUGAUAUUUUGUCAUCUAAUCAGCUCCGCCGCCUCACUUUAUAGAUUUAACAGGAAACAAUCUACCUUGGUUGAUCUUUUUUUACUCUCUUUUUUUUUUUUUUGCAGGAGUUUGAACCGUUGAUUCAGAAGCCUUACACUCUUGUCUAUUUUCACUCCGCAGCAUCUUUACAAAUGUCAGUGUGAUUAGAAGAAAAGGCACUUAAGUCGUGUUUGAUAGAUUUAUUUUUGAUUUAUAUCUCAUUUUUAUGGUUCUAUGUACUGGAUAUAGGCAACCAGAUCUUGGAUUUAUGAAGCGGUUGCAACAGAUCCUUGGUCGUAAACACCAGCGCAACCUACAUGUAAGUAUCUUAUUAAAGUAGCCGAAAUUUUUUUUGUCAGUUCCCAAACUUCUUACUUCUAGUGAUUUUCUACCUUCUUAAUUUUUUUCGCUUAGCUGAUUAGUUCAAGUGCUUACCUGAUUUGCAUAAUGUCGUAAUUGGGUUCCCCUUUAUCCAAAAAUACAUUGCACCUGUUAGGACGUGCUUACAGAAUGAGCAACUAACCAGCAAAAUAACAAUUUUAUUCAUCAUUUAAUGACCAAUUCAGUUUUGAGCAAGGGGGUGUAACAUUGUUUAGCGUGAUAACAGCAACAUGCUAUACACAACCUGGAACUUACAUUGGGGAUUCUAGCCAGAACAUAAACCUAGGGAUGAUAUUGUAAUCUAUUAAAGUCGAAAAAAUAUAUAUAUAGCAACAAGAUUGGCUAGUCGAAGGACUCUGUGUACAUUUAAUUGUAAACUAAACAUGUAUGUUUUUGCUUUUGAGAAACUAUUACGUGAUGAUUUUAGUAAAUUUUUGCAGGCGAUAUAUGUUCUGCAUCCAACCUUGGGAUUAAGGGCCGGUAUCUUCGCCUUGCAGCUAUUUGUUGAUGGAGAGGUAAAAACCACGCAGCAAAUAUAACUCAACAUGCAUAAUGAUAUGCUAAUCCUUUAAUUUUGUUCUACGUUUAUUUAGGUGUGGAAAAAAGUAGUAUACGUAGACCGACUUGUUCAACUUUUCAGAUACGUACCUCGUGAGCAAUUAACCAUUCCUGACUUUGUUUUCCAGUGAGUAUUCUGAGCGCCCGAGGAACUUAUUGUCCUCUUUUUUCACUAUUACCGAAAUAGUAAGAUCGGUCUCUUUUCCGAAAUGUAUCAUGUAGGCACGAUCUCGAAGUGAACGGAGGAAAGGGGCUCAUCGUUGAUCCCAGAACGAAAUACAUCUACCAAAGACCCUCGGCGUGACCUUUCUUUUGCCGCAUCAUUGUAAGACGUGUUUGUUCGAUCUCUUGUAUUAUAUCUGAUUACUUCCUGUAUAAUAGUUAUUUGCGUAUUUUAUUGUCUCUUAUUGUUCCUCUUUCUUUCCUUUUGAGGGAUUUUGUAUUUACAUUUAUCGACUCUCCUAUUGUACGCUGUUAAAGAUUAAGACUUUAUCAUUUAUAUAUAUGCCUGUGAAGUAAAUUGUUCCCCAAUCUUUCAUCAUUUUGCUACGGAAUGAAUAUAGAUAAUCUCGCCACAUGUAUCUUCUGAUUUAAUCAUGUAAACUAUUUUUGUCACACAUUAUUUUUCUACCCUUUUCCUUGGUAAUCUUUGCUUUUGGAAUUACUAAGGAAAAGGCACUGAAUGUAUGAGUAUAUAUUUCAUACACACCACUCCUAAAUUCAUAUCAUGGAUACCGCAAAAUUAAUGGCUUGUUUAAUUAAUUAAUUUGCAACUCUUAUUUUGCAUCACUUGGUGCUUAUUCUAAAGUCCGAUUUUUUUAUUUAUAGGUACUUUGAAUACUCUAGUUUGUAAAUGAAUCUAUGAGCUUAUUUAAACGCGAAAGUUUUAACCCAUACACAAAUUUGACCAUAUUUUACAUUUACAUUUAGAAACUCAUAAUGCCACUGCAAACUGUUGACACGACAAUUUCUGUCCAUAGCAUUAGUAAAGAGUAUUUAGAUAUGUCCAGUAUAUCCGAUAUCCCGUAUACGAUUCAGAUUCGCUCCCUGAUUGGUGGUAUAUAGGUAAGGAAAAUUAUCUAUUGAAGUUUCGGGUAUGAGUUGAGAUACUUCAUACUCAGACCGGCCUUGGAUCUUACUCUGACCCGAUCCUUUGAUGGGUAGGGUCGGGAAUAGGUUUUACAUCCCAAUUCGAACCCGGGUAAAAAAAACCUGAUCAUCAAAAAUUAAAACAAAAGAGGAAAAAUUGAACUUGUGAAAUGGAAAAUUUUGAUACUUAUCUUUUUAUUGUAAUGUUUUUGGUGCAUGUGUUUUGGACAAAUGGUGUAUGCUAUGUGACUAGUGUAUGUGUUUUAUAUAAUUAUAUUAUGUGUUUGGAUUUUUCAAUGUUAUUUUAACUAUAAUAUUGUUAUUUGUGUUUACGGUGGUAGUUGCAUGUAUUUUAGAGUAAUUAAUACUUGUGUAACAAAUUUUGUAUUUUUGGUUUAAACUUUUCACGUGAUAAAUAUUUGUAUUUUUUGUCACGGAUAUGCAUAUGGAUACCUCUGAUCUAGACCCCACACAUUGUCCAUCCUUAUCUGAUUUUGAAUGGAUAGUAUACGGUUAGUUACUAUUUAGAUUCACUCAAGUUGUUAGUACAUUAAUAACUUAAGUAUUCAAAUCCAAAUCCACUCCAAAAUCGAAUGGAUAGUGUGUAUAUACACUACAAUAAAAUAUGUUUUAGAUGAUGUUUUUAGACGACGCUCUAUUCUAAUGUCUUCAAUAUUUCGCAUGUACCAACACCAUGAUUAAACGUUGCUAAUAAAUAUAUUUUUAUCAAAUACUGAUAAAAAUUUUUCGACGCCUUAUUAAAGCGUCCAUAUUAUUUAUCUUGACAUGUUUACUUAACAACUCUUUGCUCGACGUUUUUACAAGUAUUGGGGUUAGUUAUUGUUUAAAGUGUCUACUCUUUUUAUUUUUAAAGUAUGAAAAUAUAUAGUAUAUUAACUAUUUAGAUCUGACCCUGCUCACGGACAUCUAUACAAAGUUAAUUUGUAUACUAUAUACUGUAGUCAUUAUUCCUGACGUUACAUAAUGCUGAAGCCUAAGUAGCUAAACUCAUAUAAUUGGACUUAGGCUAUGAUACACAAAUAGUUUUACCACCAAAUAAAUUAGUGUCACCACUUUGAACACACUUUGAUUAAAUUUGCCUCCCUACAUUGGCAAAACUUAUCUUGAACAUGACUGAUUCGACAUUACGAUAAAUAUUAGUUGCUCAGCAAUCAAAUAUUUCUCGGAAAAAAAAAAAAAACUCCACGCUUUUGUUUAUGGAAUCCCCACUAUCCAAAUUUAUGCAUAUAACAUCACUUCUUAAAUAGUGUUUUACUAUUUUGUCUCAUCAAUAUAAAUACCCCAUUAUACUACCUCUUUCAAAACAACUCAAAUUACCAGCUCGUUUAGGCUUUAAAGGUUUGCAAACAUAAGCUUCUCUAUUUCUAUUUAUAUGUGAUUUUUACUAUUAUGAUAGUGUUAAAUAUGUUUGAUGACUAGGUUAAGCAAUUAUGAAGGUAUUCGCACUUCUUCUGUUAGUUGUUUUCAUGACCACCUCAGUGAUGGCAAUAAGAGAAGGCACUCAAGUUAUUCAUGAAGCAACCACUGAUACCGUCGAGAAAUUGCGAAAUCCUACGAUUGCGCAAGACGAAGAAAUUAAAUUUACGAGAAAGGACAGGAACAUUGAAGAAACACCAGGAACACACGCAGCAACAAUAACAGAGCUUUGCAAGGAGAAACACUAUGAUUGGUGCCCAUCUCCUCCGAAGUUUUAAAGGCAUCACUUGCAUGCAGUACGUUUAGUAAAAAUAAAAAAAAAAAAAAUUAUCGUGUAUAACUUAUAAGAAGAGAUAGAGAUCACCACCCUCCAUGUUGCUUUAAGAUUCAAGCCACUUGAUCGAUGUAAGAAAACGUAAGUGAUAGGUAACGAUAAAUAAGGUGGCUUAUAUGGUGGCUACGUACGUACUUCUUGUGUAUAUGUACUAGAUCUGUAUGUGGACUCUAAAUAUAUAUAUAUAUAUAUAUAUAUAUAUAUAUAUAUAUAUAAAAGAUCUCAUAUAUAUAAAAUUAUUAUGAACUUGAUUAGAAGUAAUGAAUGAAUUAUUUGACAUGCUCUUUAUUUAUGAGCUAAGAGCACUUAGGUGCUAUCAAAGUAUCGACUCUUGAGUACUGCAUUGAACUUUAAAUUUAAUGAUUUGAACAUGUUACAUAUAGUUAGUUAGAUAUGAUAACGAAAAGGGGGGGAAUCACCUAAACUCUAUCUAAUUCAAAAUUUAUUACCUAAACCUUAAAAAUGUUGGAAUUUACUGUCGAAAUAAUGGUUCCAUUACAAUUUACCACAAAGCCUCUAUUUUUGUUAAUUUGGUUGAUUAGAUAUUCGUUACUCUUGCCAAUUUAUCUGUUAUACUAGAUCUUUAAUUUGUUAUAUAAACAUCUGACCAAAUGGAGCUGAAAGUUUUAUAAUAAAUUGCAACAAAAUAUUUGUUCACGUGCAUGGUAAAUUUUAGCGUUUUAAGUUCAGUUAUUAGUAAACUACAAUUGGGACACAUUUUAUGAACAAAAAAAAAAUGAUACUUUUAAAUUAUUUCAAGGCAUCAAAUGAAUCUAAAAUCAAUGAAAAAGUUUUUGAAUAAAUUAAGCCACAAAAAAAAAAAAGAUUUAGAAUACUUCAAUAACAAUCGGUCACACUUGAGCUAGCUCAUCAUGUACUAAUUAAAACUAAAGCUCCAAUUUCUAUUUUCCAUAUAUCGCCACAAAAAUUCAUCCUAAUUCGUGAUUUUAAAUAACCCGAAAAAAAAAGAGACAAGUUUAUUAUUCUAUUUUUGGUCUAUAAACCGAACAUAUAUAAUAGGAGAUCAUAAAUGAUCUAUUCCCAUUUUGGUCUAAAAUGAUUCUUAAUGUGAUUCAUUUUCACCACAAAUUAAUUAAGUAAACAGUAAGAGUUGCCAAAAUAUUUAUUAUUUCAUUCUCAACAUAAAAGUAUAUUUUUAUCUAAACAUCUCUCUCUUAUUCGAUGAUGGAGCUUCCGAAUCGACAAUCGGCUCUGUUAGACUCGAUCUAGCAUAUUUGAAGUAUAUAGAAAAUAAAUUUUGUGACUUUUCGAUAUCAUUUACCAAACGAUCGAAAGUAUUCAAAAUCAACGGCUGAAAAUAAAAAUCUCACAAAAAGUGAUGAUAUAGCAUUAAAAUUUUCGAUCAAACAAAUUGAUUUUGCUGUAGAUAGUAUAAAGAAUUUUCUAUCAAAAUUUUAUUUAAUUUGAAUACUUCUACACCGUUAAACUUGCAAACGGUAUACAUCAACCAUUAAAAAUUAUUGAUUUUGAAUCAUUUCCAUUGUUAGGAAAAUGAUACCGAAAAAUUACAAAAAUUAUUUUCUAGAUAGUUCAAAUACGGUAGACCAAGUCUAACGGAGCCGAUUAUCGAUUCGGAAGCUCUAUCAUCGAAGACGGCUUAGGAGCACAGAGACCUCCGUGCUCCUAAUAGCACACAAGACCUACUAUAUAGGAAUAAUUGCCUAUAUACCCCUCAUACGUUUGAAAAUAUCUGAUUUACCCUUACUUUUUUUUUUCUUUCUAAAAUACCCCUCAUAUGUUUUACCGUUGUUGCAAAAUACCCCCGCAGUUAUUUCCUGUUAAGUUAACUUGGGUUAAACAUGAGUUAAAUAUCUACCACAGUUUAAAAAAAUUAAAAUGUCAAUUUAGCCCUUAACUUAAGGGUAAAUAAGAAAGGUUAGUGACGGUAGAGAGGUAUAUUGGAAAAGACCAAAAGUCAAAAUACUUUUUGUGCCUCUGACUUUAAGGGCAAAUAAGAAAGACUGUGAUGGUAGAAUGGUAUAUUUGAAAGUGCAAAAUAGUAAUUUUACAGAGAUAACAGAGUUAAUUAACAGAUUUUAACUCUAACGGCUUGUUUGGUUCAAGGGUGGAAUUGGAAUGGAUAAUGGAAUGGGAAUGAAUUGGAAUGGUAAUUGGAAUGGUCCACUCCCCCAAGACGUUUGUUUAUUUGUGGAUUGGAAAUUGGAAUGAGUUAUUCACAUUUCAUUGUUUGGUUCGUAUAAACUAAAAAAAUUAUAGGAUACUAUAAUACUAAUUUUACUCUCAAAUAUAAAUUUNNNNNNNNNNNNNNNNNNNNNNNNNNNNNNNNNNNNNNNNNNNNNNNNNNNNNNNNNNNNNNNNNNNNNNNNNNNNNNNNNNNNNNNNNNNNNNNNNNNNNNNNNNNNNNNNNNNNNNNNNNNNNNNNNNNNNNNNNNNNNNNNNNNNNNNNNNNNNNNNNNNNNNNNNNNNNNNNNNNNNNNNNNNNNNNNNNNNNNNNNNNNNNNNNNNNNNNNNNNNNNNNNNNNNNNNNNNNNNNNNNNNNNNNNNNNNNNNNNNNNNNNNNNNNNNNNNNNNNNNNNNNNNNNNNNNNNNNNNNNNNNNNNNNNNNNNNNNNNNNNNNNNNNNNNNNNNNNNNNNNNNNNNNNNNNNNNNNNNNNNNNNNNNNNNNNNNNNNNNNNNNNNNNNNNNNNNNNNNNNNNNNNNNNNNNNNNNNNNNNNNNNNNNNNNNNNNNNNNNNNNNNNNNNNNNNNNNNNNNNNNNNNNNNNNNNNNNNNNNNNNNNNNNNNNNNNNNNNNNNNNNNNNNNNNNNNNNNNNNNNNNNNNNNNNNNNNNNNNNNNNNNNNNNNNNNNNNNNNNNNNNNNNNNNNNNNNNNNNNNNNNNNNNNNNNNNNNNNNNNNNNNNNNNNNNNNNNNNNNNNNNNNNNNNNNNNNNNNNNNNNNNNNNNNNNNNNNNNNNNNNNNNNNNNNNNNNNNNNNNNNNNNNNNNNNNNNNNNNNNNNNNNNNNNNNNNNNNNNNNNNNNNNNNNNNNNNNNNNNNNNNNNNNNNNNNNNNNNNNNNNNNNNNNNNNNNNNNNNNNNNUAUAUAUAUAUAUAUAUAUAUAUAGAAUUAGGCUGGAAUACUAUUAGUAGUAAAAUGCUCUUUUUGCUAUCAAGUUUUUAACCAUUGGAUGAAAAAUUAUAGGGUUAGGAUGAUAUUAGUCAGUUAGAGUUGAGUGGUCCCCCUAGGGUUGAGUGGUCCCCGCUGGGUUAUAGUAUUUAAUCCAAUGGUUAGAAAUGAUGAAAAGAGUUGGUCCAAAGGCUAAAAAACUGGUAACAAAAUAGAAUUUUGCUACUAAUAGCAGCCCAGUCCAACUCAUAUAUAUAUAUUCCUACUCUAAAGUAUGAAAAUAUAUAGUAUAUUAACUUUUUAGAUCAGACCCUGCUCACGGACCUCUAUACAAAGUUUGUAUACUAUAUACUGUAGUCAUUAUUCCUGAUGUUACAUAAUGCUGAAGCCUAAGUAGCUAAACUCAUAUAAUUGGACUUAGGCUAUGAUACACAAAUAGUUUUACCACCAAAGAAAUUAGUGUCACCACUUUGAACACAGUUUGAUUAAAUUUGCCUCCUUACAUUGGCAAAACUUAUCUUGAACCUGACAACAUGACUGAUUCGACAUUGCGAUAAAUAUUAGUUGCUUAGCAAUCAAAUAUCUCUUGGAAAAAAAAAAACCCUCCACGCUUUUGUUUAUGGAAUCCCCACUAUCCAAAUUUAUGCACAAAACAGCACUUCUUAAAUAGUGUUUUACUAUUUUGUCUCAUCAAUAUAAAUACCCCAUUAUACCUCUUUCAAAACAACUCAAAUUACCAGCUCGUUUAGGCUUUAAAGGUUUGCAAACAUAAGCUUCUCUAUUUAUAUUUAUAUGUGAUUUUUACUCUUAUGAUAGUGUUAAAUAUGUUUGAUGACUAGGUGAAGCAGUUAUGAAGGUAUUCGCACUUCUUCUGUUAGUUGUUUUUAUGACUACCUCAGUGAUGGCAAUAAGAGAAAGCACUCAAGUUGUUCAUGAAGCAACCACCGAUACCGUCGAGAAACUGCAAAAUCCUACAAUUGCGCAAGACGAAGGAAUUAAAUUUACGCGAAAGGACAUGAACAUUGAAGGAAAACCAGCAGUGCACACGAGCUAUGUACCAAUAGGACAGUUUUGCGAGGAGAAAAAGUAUGAUUGGUGCCCAUCUCCUCCGUAAGUUUUAGAGGGAUCACUUGCAUGUAGUACGUAUAGGGGAAAGAAUAAAUAAAUAAAUACAAUUAUGGUGUAUAACUUAUAAGAAGAAAUAGAGAUCACCACCCUCCAUGUUGCUUUAAGAUUCAAGCCACUUGAUAGAUAUAAGAAGACACAAGUGAUAGAUAACAAUAAAUAAUGUGGCUUAUGUGGUGGCCACGUACUUCUUGUGUAUAUAUACUUUAUGUGUGGACUCUAUAUAUAAGAUCUCAUAUAUAUAAAAUUAUUAUGAACUUGAUCAGAAGUAAUGAAUGAAUUAUUUGACAUGCUCUUUAUGUAUGAGCUAAGAGCACAUAGGUGCUAUCUAAGUAUCGACUCUUGGGUACUGCAUCGAACUUUAAAUUUAAUGAUUUGAACAUAUUACGUAUAGUUAGAUAUGAUAACGAAAAGGGGGGGAAUCUGCUGAACUCGAUCUAAUUCAAAAUUUAUUACCUAAACUUUUUAAAAUGUUGGAACUUACCGUCAAAAUAAUGGUUCCAUUACAAUUUACCACAAAGCGUCUAUUUUUGUUCAUUUGGUUGAUGAGAUAUUCGUUACUCUUGCAAUUGCAUCACGUGAAUCGGACUUUUAGAGAACUGAUCGAUCAACUUGCCAAUUUAUCUGUUCUACUAGAUCUUUAAUUUUUUAUAUAAACAUCUGGCCAAAUUGUUGGAGCUGAAAGUUUUAUAAUAAAUUGCAACAUAAUGUUUGUUCACGUGAUAAAUUUUAGCGUUUUAAGUUCAGUUAGUAAACUACAAUUGGGACAAAGUUUAUGAACAAAAAAAAAAUGAUACUUUUAAAUUAUUUCAAGGCAUCAAAUGAAUCUACAAUCAAUGACAAAAUUUUUGAAUAAAUUAAGCCACAAAAAAAAAGAUUGAGAAUACUUCAAUAACACUCGGUCACACUUGAGCUAGCUCAUCAUGUACUAAAACUAAAGCUCCAAUUGCUAUUUCCAUAUAUGGCCACAAAAAUUCAUCCCAAUUCAUGAUUUUAAAUAACCCGAAAAAAAAAGAGACAAGUUUAUUAUUCUAAUUUUGGUCUAUAAACCGAACAUAAUAGGAGAUCAUUCAUGAUCUAUUCCCAUUUUGGUCUAAAAUGAUUCUUAGUGUGAUUCAUUUUCACCAAAAAUUAAUUAAGUAAACAGUAAGAGUUGCCAAAAUAUUUAUUAUUUCAUUCUCAACAUAAAAGUAUAUUUUUUGUCUACACAUCAUCUCUCAUUCUAUAUUUGACAAAGUCCACUAUUAAUUGCAAACAAGUGAAAUAUAUAUUUUCCCUGGUUAAAGGUUCUACAUGUAACAUGUGUUGGUGAAAAUCCAAAAUCUCUAAAUAUAAUUUUAAUUUUAUAAUUAUUCUUAUUUAUUGUCUUUUAUUAUAUUAAUUAAUUGGAUGGAUUAAAUUUAACUUAUUCCUUCUUUAUUUCACGUAAAAGUAUGAAUUAAAUGGAAUUAAUUAUUGGAAUAGAAUGUUGGGGGUCUCCAACGUUCUAUUCACACCCUUUUAUAUUGUACUCUUUUUACUGUUCAUUAUAUGAACAUUGCAAAGAGAAACAUUGGAAGGCAUACAUUUUUCUUUUAUUAUUUUGAUCUAUUUGGCUUUGAUUUUUUUGUCAUCGGGUGUUGAAAGAAUUUCCAUCAACCUCCUUCACGAUUGUGCUCGCAGGAGAAGGAAUUCCAGUCGUACCUUGAGGUCCUUCAUUAUAUGAACAUUGCAAAGAGAAAUAUUGAAAGACAUACAUUUUUCUUUUAUUAUUUUGAUCUAUUUGGCUUUGAUCUUUUUAUCAUCAGGUGUUGAAAGAGUCUCCGUCAACCUCCUUCACGAUCGUGCUCGCAGGAGGAGGAAUUCCGGUCGUACCUUGGGGUGUUAUUUCCGGUUAAUCCCGCACGUAAGACUGGAAUACGCCUUAGAACAGUACCUUGCACGCUUCUGGAUCAAUUAAGUAUUUAUUUGGAUUUAGCGAUCAUCCGUAAGUUGAUUUAUUUAUUUUUUAUCACAAAAUUAGUUAAAUCUUUAAUCAUAAUCAGAUUUCCAGUGCGGUAAUUUGUAUUAAAAGUCUAAGGCGUAUUCAAUUUGAUUGUGAUUAAAGAAAAAUCUAAAACUAGGGUACUAAUCGUAUAAAUUAAUUUAAUUAUAUAAUAAAUAUAUAUAUAUAUAUAUAAUAUAUAUAUAUAUUAUAUAGUACUAUAUAUAAUAUAAUAUUAUAAUAUAUAUAAAUUUGUUUGUAUAAUGGGUGCAUUCAAAUAUAAAUUUUUCGGAAUUAGCACUUUAACCCGUAAAUGCGUAUUAUUUAAUUUAUUGUUUAAAUUACAUUUUAUUUGGUGAUUAUUUUGUUAAAAAAAUGCUUUUACUGUAGAUUCUUUGUUAAAAAAAGAUCUGCUACUGUAUAAAACUCUUUUAAAAAAAAAAUAAUUUUGCUACAGAAAAAAAUAAUUUUAUUAGUGUGCAGAGUUUGCUACAGUAAAAUCCUUUGGUAAUUAUAUACUAUAGUAUUUUUUAGACUGGUUGUACGGAUUGUUUUAAAAAUAAAUAUCUGUUACAGUAAAUAUUUUUAUAGCCUUUAAAAAAAAAAAGAAAGAGAAGAUUUGAAUGGGAUUCGAAACUAUGGUUGCUCACAUUUUUUAAAGAAGCAAACCCUAACCUGUAAAGCCCAAAUUUAUUUUUUGUUUUUAUUACUGUUUUAGCAUUACUUAUACUCUGUCUGCAACAUCAAAUAAUAAUUUGAUUGCAUUUGUCAUUUACUCGAAAAUAUCUAAUUGAAGUAAAAUUUUUAAAAUUGAUAGGGCCUUUUAUUUACUGUUGAUGCGAACCCUAUGAAACAUGAUUAAUUUCAUAAUUUUAAAUUUUGGUGUAUCUCAGAAAUUGAGGGGAGUUCUUUUAUCAAUUUGAUAAAUUUUAAUACUAUGAUUGCCCUUAUAAUUUUAUUUUGUUUAUCUUAAUGUUUAGCUUGGAAAAGAAUUUGAUAAAUUCUAAAGUUGGCAAAUAAAUUAUAUUGAGACAUAAAUUUAUUAGAUGGUUAUUUUUUCAUAAUGUUACUUAUUUGAGUUUUAUCAGAUUUGAUUAGAAUCUUCUAGAUUACUUGACAAAAAACAUAAAUAGAACUAAAGUUCUGAUAUCAUCGAGAGGGAUGAGAAUUUGUUCAUAAAGAGUCUUCCUGUAGCGGGAACCCAACCUUUGUGAUAGGAGAUCCCUUGAAGAAGAUUCAAUGUGGUAAAAAUAAGUUGCUAGGUUGGCCAAAGAACACUUUCUACAGUUUAUAUAGCGGAGCUUUAGCUCCAAUUCCAUUCCUAUGGUGAGUAGUGCUCUGUGUAGUGGAUUAGGUUGAGCUGAUAGCUCUUAAUGGGAUCCGAGGCGGUAACUUUCGCGAGAUGUGACUCUACACAUAUCCCUGAAGGAAACCACCUAUAUGAUAGUAUCCGUAUAUGGCCGCGGCUAUGUGAUGUGGGCUAUACAUAGAAGUUCUGAUGAAAAAUCAAGAUACUGUGCAUGGUCAUUAACGCACAGACCCGCGACGAAUAAUUCUGUACUCUGUGUGUGAUAGUUGAAGUUAGGGUCAAAGGAACAUAGUUCAAGAUCUGCUUCACUCCGAUUCUUUCUGAUGAAAACUAUUUACGCUAAGUGGGGUUAAGUCUCUUAAAGACACCUUGCCUAUUGCAUAAUAUAAACACCCGAUGAUUUAUUUAUUUAUUUGUUUACUUUUUAUUUUGUGAUUUUAAAUUUUGUGAGUGAUUGUUGGUGGAAAAUCCAAAAUCUCUAAAUAUCAUUUUAAUUUUAUAAUUAUUCUCAUUUAUUGUCUUUUAUUAUGUUAAUUAAUUGGAUGGAUUAAAUUUAAUUUAUUCCUUCUUUAUUUCACAUAAAAGCAUGAAUUAAAUGGAAUUAAUUAUUGGAGUAGAAUGUUGGGGUCUUCAACGUUCUAUUCACACCCUUUUAUAUAGUACUCUUUCCACUGUUCACUAUAUGAACAUUGCAAAGAGAAACAUUGGAAGACAUUUUUUUUUUAUUAUUUUGAUCUAUUUGGCUUUGAUUUUUUUGUCAUCGGGUGUUGAAAGAGUCUCCGUCAACCUCCUUCACGAUCGUGCUCGCAGGAGGAGGAAUUCCGAUCGUACAUUGGAGUGUUAUUUCCGGUUAAUGCCGCACGUAAGGACGAUAAUACGUCUUAGGCUAGUGCCUCGCACGCUUCCGGAUCAAUUAAAUAUUUAUUUGGAUUUAGCGAUCAUCUGUAAGUUGAUUUAUUUAUUUUUUAUCACAAAAUUAGUUAGAUCUUUAAUCACAAUCAGAUUUCUGUGCUGUAUUUGUUCUAACAAUCUAAGGUGUAUUCCAAUUUGGUUGUGAGUAAAAUCUAACGGGUACUAAUCCGUAUUAAAUUAAUUUUAAUUUUAUAUGUAUAUAUUUGUUUGUUAAUUUGUUUGUAUGAUUGGCAUUCAGAUAUAAAUUUUUCGGAAUUAGCACUUUAACCCGUAAAUGCGUAUUAUUUAAUUUAUUGUUUAAAUUACAUUUUAUUUGGUGAUUAUUUUGUUAAAAAAAAUGCUUUUACUGUAGAUUCUUUGUUAAAAAGAGAUCUGCUACUGUAUAAAACUCUUUAAAAAAAAAUAAUUUUGCUACAGAAAAAAAUAAUUUUAUUAGUGUGCAGAGUUUGCUACAGUAAAAUCCUUUGGUAAUUAUAUACUAUAGUAUUUUUUAGACUGGUUGUACGGAUUGUUUUAAAAUUAAAUAUCUGUUACAGUAAAUAUUUUUAUAGCCUUGAAAAAAAAAAAGAAGAUUUGAAUGGGAUUCGAAACUAUGGUUGCUCACAUUUUUUAAAGAAGCAAACCCUAACCUGUAAAGCACAAAUUUAUUUUUUGUAUUUAUUACUGUUUUAGCAUUACUUAUACUCUGUCUGCAACAUCAAAUAAUAAUUUGAUUGCAUUUGUCAUUUACUCGAAAAUAUCUAAUUGAAAUAAAAUUUUUAAAAUUGAUUGGGCCUUUUAUUUACUGUUGAUGCGAACCCUAUGAAACAUGAUUAAUUUCAUAAUUUUAAGUUUUGGUGUAUCUCAGAAAUUGUGAGGGGAGUUCUUUUAUCAAUUUGAUAAAUUUUAAUAUUAUGAUUGCCCUUAUGAUUUUAUUUUGUUUAUCUUAAUGUUUAGCUUGGAAAAGAAUUUGAUAAAUUCUAAAGUUGGCAAAUAAAUUAUAUUGAGACAUAAAUUUAUUAGAUGGUUAUUUUUUCAUAAUGUUACUUAUUUGAGUUUUAUCAGAUCUGAUCAGAAUCUUCUAGAUUACUUGACAAAAAACAUAAAUAGAACUAAAGUUCUGAUAUCAUCGAGGGGGAUGAGAAUUUGUUCAUAAAGGGCCUUCCUGUAGCAGGAACCCAACCUUUGUGAUAGGAAAUCCCUUGAAGAAGAUUCAAUGUGGUAAAAAUAAGCUGCUAGGUUGGCCAAAGAACACUUUCUACAGUUUAUAUAGAGGAGCUUUAGCUCCAAUUCCAUUCCUAUGGUGAGUAGUGCUCUGUGUAGUGGAUUAGGUUGAGCUGAUAGCUCUUAAUGGGAUCCGAGGCGGUAAUUUUCGCGAGAUGUGACUCUACACACAUCCCUGAAGGAAACCACCUAUAUAAGGGUAUCCGUAUGUAGCCGCGGCUUUGUGAUGUGGGCUAUACAUCGAAACUCUUAUGAAAAAUUAAGAUACUGUGUAUGGCCAUUAACGCACAGACCCAUGACGGAGAAUUCUGUACUGUGUGUGUGAUAGUUGAAGUCAGGGUCAACGGAACGUAGUUCAAGACCUGGUUCACUCCGAUUCCUUCUGAUGGAAACUAUUUACACUAAGGGCUUGUUUGGUUCAUCCAUUUUGAGUAUGGAAUGGAAAUCGGUUUGCUCAAAUCCGGUUAAUUUUGUUUGGUUCGCAUGAAUCGGUUUGGGAUUCCUAUUCCGGACUGGAAUGGGAAUGGCCCAUUAGCCUUCAACUUGAUUCCGAUCUUCUAGCCCGGAUUGAGAUUUCAAUCCGGAAGCUCACUAAGUUCUCAAAGCCCAUGUGACCAUCUUACCCUCCUUCUCUUCACCCCUUUCUCAUCAAAAAAAAAAAAAACCUAUUCUCUCUCAAAACCCUAUCCCUAACCCACAUCAAUAAAAGUUUUUAAAAAUAAAUUUGAUAUUUUUUUUGGAAAACUUAUUAGAGAAUAGUAUUAUAUUUUUCAUAAAUUUUAAAUAAUAUAAAUUUAUAUUUGAGAGUAAAAUUAGUAUUAUAGUAUCCUAUAAUUUUUUUAGUUUAUACGAACCAAACAAUGAAAUGUGAAUAACUCAUUCCAAUUCCCAAUCCACAAAUAAACCAAACGUCUUGGGGAGUGGGUCAUUCCAAUUAUCAUUCCAAUUCAUUCCCAUUCCAUUAUCCAUUCCAAUUCUACCCUUGAACCAAACAAGCCCUAAGUGGGGUUAAGUCUCUUAAAGACACCUCGCCGAUUGUAUAGUAUAAACACCGGAUGAUUUAUUUGUUUAUUUGUUUAAUUUUUAUUUUGUGAUUUUGAAUUUUGUGAUCAGGUAUUGUUGGUGGAAAAUCCAAAAUCUUUAAAUAUUAUUUUAAUUUUAUAAUUAUUCUUAUUUAUUGUCUUUUAUUAUGUUAAUUAAUUGGAUGGAUUAAAUUUAAUUUAUUUCUUCUUUAUUUCACAUAAAAGCAUGAAUUAAAUAGAAUUAAUUAUUGAAGAAGAAUGUUGGAGGUCUUCAACGUUCUAUUCACACCCUUUUAUAUAGUACUCUUUCCACUGUUCAUUAUAUAAACAUUGCAAAGAGAAACAUUGGAAGACAUAUAUUUUUCUUUUAUUAUUUUGAUCUAUUUGGCUUUGAUCUAUUUGUCAUCGGAUAUUGAAAGAGUCUCCGUUAAUCUCCUUCACGAUCGUGCUCGCAGGAGGAGGAAUUCUGAUCGUACCUUGGAGUGUUAUUUCCGGUUAAUCCUGUACAUAAGGAAGGGAAUACGUCUUACGCUAGUGCCUCGCACGCUUCUGGAUCAAUUAAGUAUUUAUUUAGAUUUAGCGAUCAUCUGUUAGUUGAUUUAUUUAUUUUUUAUCACAAAAUUAGUUAGAUCUUUAAUCACAAUCAGAUUUCUUACAAGCCUAAAGUCAUGCCCCUACUAGGAUGGAUUAAUUAGAAUCCAAAAAUCUUAGUCCAAAUCUGAAUGGUACUCGUCGGAAUGCAUAUUUUCUGUUUAUGUAAAGGUGGUUUAAUUAACAAUAUCAUAUUUGGAAAGAGAAUAUCAAGAAUAUCAAAUUUGAUUAUAAGACAAAAUUUUAACUCUUUACGAAUAAGAAGAUAUUUACAAUCAGAAUUCCUAUAGAUAGAAAGUCAAAUUUUGAACGUAACUUUGAGGCCUAAACAAUCUCAAAACACCCUAAAACUCAUACGGAACUUAGUUAUACAUACUAAGUUCCGUUGCUAAAGCGUAAGUAUCUUCUCGAUCGAUCUGCACACAUAGAAUCAGAAAUUGUCUCAAUCGGACUCCAUAUGGGAAAGAUAUGUCCUUCGGACGAUGUUGAUGUCUAAAUCCGCAAACUUGACCAUCUAGAUUCUUAUUGGAUCAAUUAAUGAAUUACUUAAUUAAUUAAUUAAUUAGAAAAUAAAAGUUUAUGUUCCUACAUGGUUAAUAUAGGGCUUAUUUAUUCGUCAGUAACCAAUUUUCAAGCUGAAAAUAAUUUCCAGUUGAACUGAAGUUUCCGAUUACUCUUUGUUUGAUAGGAUGUCAGUUGUUUUGGAACUGCAGUUAUCCCUUUUUUUUUUUGAAUAUUUCCACAUACGAAAAUAAUGAGGUGAUUAAAAAAAAAAGAAAAAGAAUUAAAACCAGGAGUUAAAUUUUUGUUAUUUUUUCUUUGUAUUUUUUUCUUCCAGAGUUGACUUCACUGCCACCUAGGGCGAAGUUAAUUCCGAUGUUUUUAAAAAAUAAAAGUUAUGAACAAAUUUAAUAUUGUACAGUAAAUUAAAUAACGAAAGUGAAUAUUUAUCGUUGAUCGAAAACAACUUCACCCUCUUCAUUUUCAGUAAAAUAAAAAUGCUCAUAAUGUUCUCAUCGGGUUUUAUUUGUGUCCAAAAAGACAUGGCACCUGUUAGGAUGUUGCUAAUUAUAGAAUGUACAACUAACCAAAGUAACAAUUUUAUCCUUCAUUUAUUAAUGGAGAUUCUUUUUAGAGCAAAAAAAGACCUAUAUAUGGAAAUUAGAAAGUAUUUUUGGUUUUUAGAAACUUUUAUGUAAUUAUUUUAGUAAACUUUGAAUGGAGAUAUAUGUUUAGCAUCCAACAUUGGAAUUAAGGGCACCUUUUUGUUCAUGGAGCGAUAUUUAUUCCAAAAAAAAAAGUUAAAAACAAGGUAAAUUUCAAUUUGGCCCCCUUCGGUUUAGCUCAUUUUUAUUUUGUCAUCCUGUUAUUCAAAAAAUGAUACUUAACUAUCAUAUGAUAUAGCUUAUUUUUACUUUUAUCAUCAUAUAUAUGGUUAAAAAAAUUAAACUUAAUCAUCCUGUGGUUAUAAAAAAAUUUUACUUUGCGUAUACUAUCCUAUUUGAUAAUAUAUCUUUUUGAGUAACAAAAGGGAUAAAACUACAUAAUAAUUAAAUAUAACUUUUUAAAUCGUAGAAUAAUAAAGCAAAAAAUGAACUAAACCAUAUAGGAUCAAAUUGAAGUUCAUCAUUUAAAUAAAAAAAAAAAAGAGACAUACGAUCAACAUAACAGUUGUUUAGGUUUAGAAGAAAUUAAAGUAGUAUAUGCAAACUGCCUUGUUCAGAUUAACUAUUUUCGACUUUGCCUUCCACCGACUAUUUUUGGAGGAAUUCUACACUGUCACACUUGCACCACGUCAUCAAUAACAAGCCAAUCACAUUCCUUCUUUUUAAACAAAAGUACAAUAAAAAUACUUUUUUACAAUCAUGAUGGGACAUAUAUUCUUAAAAGGAUUAAUUUGAUUGGUUUGUUACGCCACGUCACUAAUAUACCCGUUGCAUUCUAGAAUUUUUACUAUUUUUGGUGGGCGACGACGCGAGAAACUUCUACAUAUUCUCCCGUCUCGUCGUUCUCAAAGAAAGAAGAUAAGUUUCUUAUCUGGAACGUAUCAUAUAGGCAAAAGAAAGUACUAAAAAUGUGUCACUAACUUUAAAUGAUUGACUUUUGGUCAGAUAUAUGAUGUGGUGAUUGCUUACUGUGAACAUCCUUCCUUAAUAUUUAGGGCCAUAUUCAAUACAGAAGUUAUUGGGUAAAAGAUUGUUUUACAAAAAAAUGGAUGGAAAUGGAAUAUGAUUCUAAGAGACUAUAGCCUCUCGUUCCAGAAGGAGAAAGAUAUGAUGGAUGGCUUGAAAGGAUUACUCAUAGACAGUUGUGGACGACGGACCUAAUCACAGCAGUUUUUAGUUACAUCGCUUUAUAGUUUUCUUAAGUAUGGUGGAGUUAUAGACUGAAUCACCUCACAGAUUUGGAAGUUAAAGAUACCAAAAAAAGUUAAGAUUUUCGUUUGGCUUGCAUUGAGAAAAAAAGUAUCUACUGUUGAUAAUUUGCAAAAAAGGGGUUGGCUUGGUGAACAAAACUAUGUGCUCUGUGCUGUUGAAUUCGAGACAAUAGACUACCUAUUCAUGAAGUGUGUUUGUAUCAAAUACCCGCUCUUCUGUCUCCUACCUAAUCCUGAUGCUAUUUUAAACAACACGACGACUAAGGAUCUUUGGGAAGCAUGUCAAAUGCAGAUAGAUAAUACAAUCAGGAUGAAAAGCCUUCUGACGCUUACAGUGGUCUGGUGGCUCAUAUGGCUGGAGAGAAAUAAUAUAAUAUUUCAGAAUUUGGGAAACAACACAGGCUGCACUCUAAGCGAAAUCGGCAAAUUAAGGCAGCUUUGGGAAGAUCACUGUUACUAAAGGCGGUUGACAUAUCACAAUUCACAAAUUGUAGGUUUUAUUUUUGUUUUUGGAUUUCUUUUUUUUUUUUUUUUUGAGUUUGUUGUUUGUUGUUUCUCUCUCUCUCUCACCCUCUCUUUUUUCUCUCUUUCCGAGGCCCUGUUGCCUCACUAAUAUAGCCUAGUUCAUACUCUUAUUGAUAAAGUGGGUAGUAUGCUAUUUUUUUUCUCAAAAAAAAAAUUAUAUCUGUUGGCAUCGGUUAAACCGAAUCGGGUGCGCCCAUGAUCGGACUCGAUCCGAUGGUUAUUAUGUUGUUUAAUUAGAUUAGAAUUAAUUUUAUUUUUAAAUUAGAAAACUAAUUAGAGAUAUAUUCUAGCCAUAUUAAAAUAACAAUUAUAAACCAAUUCGGUCUAAUCUCUUACUUCUCUAUUAGGGUUUUGGAAUCCUUAUAAGUAUACGAGUUUUUUUCUCAUAGAAAAUAUAUGAAAAAAAAAUAAAAUAUUCAUAAAUUCGUGAGUAAUUUGUGAGCUGUCUUGCGAGAGAGAGAAAUCGCACCCUUCAUUAACCUAUUAUUCUAGAAGGUCUUAAACGGUGGAUUAGAGAUCUUGUUUGGUUGUAAUUCAAUCUACUGCGGGUUCGAAAUAUUAGAAGACCUUUGUGAACGAUGCAAGGAUAUGUGAAUCAACCUCUACGAUUCGGGCUUAUCGCGUUCUAGCGCGCAGUUAUACAAAAAGUGUGAACGAAUACUUCCGUUGCAUUCUACAACAUUAUUUAUGUUUCUAGUCAAUCAAAUUUACUUUUUGAAUUAAAUUCACACAUUCCAUCAUAUUUUUUUUAAAAUAAAAUAAAAUAUUAUUUUUUAAAUAAAAAUUUUAAAUGGCUUGAAAUACAGUAACAUAAUGGCCCUGUUACAUAAAAGACCAUCUUGACAUGACCUUUUACUUGCUCAUCAUUGUAAAGCAUGGUGGCUCAUUCCCUUGUGCAACUAGUUAUAUCUUCCUAGUAAAAGGUUCGCGCUUCACGACGGGUAGAUAAAAUUUUAGUCAGUUAAAAUAUAUAAUUAUUAAAAAAUAUUUAAAUAAUUUAUUAUAUCUUCGAAAUUUUAAGAGUAGAUUUAUGAUAAAAUAAGCACAUCCAAAAUAUUAAUAGGUAUGUGACAAUACUCCAUUGGUUAAUGGGUAACUGUUACUUCAAAAGAAAGGAGAACUAUUUGUUUUCACUUGGUACAUACUAAUUUUUUUAUACCCCGCACAUAAUAGUAUAUAAUUGAUAGAGUAUUUGAUGACCAAUAUUAAAAAAUAAAAUAUGAGAUAAAAAAUAUUUAAAUAAUUUAUUAUACCAUCAAAAUUUUAUUUUAAUGUAUAUUUUAAAAUAAGUUUACGGGAAAAUAGGCACAUCUAAAUUUUUAUCAGUUACGUGGCAAUCUCCCAUUAGUUAACUUCCAAAGGAGGGGAGAAAUAUUUGUUUGCACCUGGUGCAUAUAACUUUUUCAUACAUCACAUAGAAUAUUAUAUAUUGAUUGAGUAUUUUAUCCUUAAUACUGUAAACUAAAAUAUGACAUAAUACAAAAUGUUUAAAUAAUUUAUUAUACAAUCGAAAAUUUUAUCUUUAAUGUAUAUUUUGAAGUCAGUUUACGAUGAACCGGUUGCGUCAAACAUUUUCGAUAGGUAUAUGGUACUACUCCGUUGGUUUAGUGCUCAAUGGAUUAGGUGGCUCUAUGAGACCUCAAUGUAGUGAUAUGGUGGCUCCAUGAGACCUCGAUGUCGUGAUGUGAUGAUAUUGCCAAAUAUAUACCAUAUAUUACUUCUCAUAAAAGAGUUAUGUAUUUUGCGUAUUUUAUCGAGUCUCUUGCUAUUUAUUUUUUAAAACCAUUUGAGGAAUUUUAUGUCGUGUUGUACUCUGUUAUGGAUUUUAAUACUCCUAAGUGAGCUUGUAAUAUAAAAACCAGAAGAUAUUGGAGUCAAAAAGGAAAGAGUUUGUAAUGUCUCGAUGAUUUUAUAUCAUAUGGGUAAAAAAUUGUGAAUAAGAAUAUAAAAAUUAUGGAUUUUAAUAUUCCUAAGUGAGCUUAAGCAAUUUGAGCCCAUAAUUUGGCCCAACGAAUUAUUAGUGUUAGUGGAGUGAAUCCUCACAAUACAGUAUUUUGGAUUUAAUCUUUUUUUUUUUUCCGUCACUUUUCUUUAGUGAGCUCUGCUCUCGAGAAUGGCAAAUAUGUGAUCUUCUUCUACUGUUCUUUAUAAGUUGACUCCACGAAGCACCACUGUUAUAAGUGCAUUUCAUACACUACACUCCGAAAUUUUAUCAUAGAUGUCAUAAAAUUAAUAACCUACUUAGUUAAUUGCACCGUUUAUUGCAUCACUUGAUGCUUUUUUGGCAAAGUGUGAAUUUUAUUUUUAAGUACUUCAAAUACUCUAGUUCAUAAAUAUAACAUGUGGGCAGGGACGGAGUCAUUAAGGGGUCGUCCAUAGUGACCAUAGCCUCUUUGAACUUUUUAAAAUUACAUAAAAGUCUUUUAUAUUAAAAAUUAAAAUAUUAUAAAUUUUAAUUUUAGGGGGCCAAAUUAAUUUUUUUUAAUAAAACAUGUGUUCCAAUUUUUUUCCGAACCUGUUGGCCCUUUUCUUUUAGCUUUUACAGUUUUGUUCAUUUUUUAGCACAUUGUCGUUACUGUUGCUAGCAAUAGUUGAUCAGUGAAUCUGACAAUUUUUUUCUUAUUAUCCGAGGUUGAAUUUUUUUUUAUCAAAUCUAAAUUUUAGUCUCUCAAAUUUUAAUUUCUAGCUUCGUCUCUACACGUGGGACAAGUUAAAUGCGAAAGUUUUAACCGAACCGCACAUUUGGCCACAUUUUAUCCUUACCUUUUUCUCAACAAAGAAACUCAUAUUAAUGCCAAUGCAAACUGUACUUGAAAUGACAAUUUCUAUUCACAGCAUUACUAAAGAGUAUCCUCACAACUUCUACACAAAGUUUGCAUAAAGUUAUUAUUCCUGAUGUUACAUAAUGCAGGAGCCUAAGUUAUAGCCAAGCUCAUAUAAUUGGACUUAGGCUAUAAUACCCAAAGGCUAUGUUUGGUUGGCUAUAAUACCCAAAGGCUAUGUUUGCCACCAAAAAGACCACUAUCACCACUUAGAACACAGUUUGAUUGGGACACUACGAUGAAUAUUAAUUAGUGGCUUAACAAUCAAAUGUUACUUGAAAAGGAAACUUCAUUUGCUUUUGUUUGUGCAAUCCCCACUAUCCAAAUUCAAGCAAUUAAUAUAUCACUUUCUUAAUAAGUGCCUAGCUAUUUUUUCUCAUCUAUAUAAAUACCUCAUUAUACCUGUUUCAAAAGAACUCGAAUUAUACAUAUAACAGCUCACUUCAGGCUUUAAAGGUUUGUAAACAUAAGCCUCUCAGUUUACGUAUAAUUCAAUUCAGUUCAAGCAUGAUUAUGUUUAUAUCUGAUUCUUACUCUAAUGAUCGUGUAAAUUGUACAUGCAUGUUUGUUGGUUAGGUUAAGCAAUGAAGGUGUUCAUGCUUCUUUCGUUAGUUAUUUUUAUGAUCACCUCAGCGAUGGCAAUACGAGAUCUCUCCAAAGAAGCAAAAAUAGAAGGCGCACUAGUUGUUGUUCAUGAAGUAACCACCGAUGCCGUCGAGGAACUGCAAAACCUGAAAAGUGCACAAAACCAAGGAAUUAAAAUUGUGAGAAAGGAUGCGAACAUCGAAGGAACGCCAUGUGCGACGUGCUCGCCAACCACCAUACCGAUAAGGAAGUUCUGCGAUGCGAAAGGGUCUGAAUGGUGCUCGCCCCCUCCGAUGUCUUAGAGGGGUCAUUUGCGCGCAAUACAUAUACUAAAAAAGAAAAAACUAUAAGGUAUAGCCUUACAUAGAGCCGAUGUUACCACCCUCCAUAUAUGUUGCUUUAAGAUUCGAGUUAAUAGACUAAUAAAGGAUGGUGGCCUUUGUCUCAUCAUAGCGUGAUAUCCUAUAAGAGUCUUAUCCCUAAAUAAUGGCCACUUUCAUGUAGGUAAACCCUAAUGAUAUGUAGCAAUAAAUAAGAUGGCUUAUAUUUCUAUAUGUAAAAACUCUCUACAUGUGGACUGUAUAGGACCUUAAAUAUACAAAAUUAUUAUGAACUUGCUAGGAAGUAAUGAAUUGUGUUAUAUAUAUAUGAGCUAGGAAUUCUCGCGUUCUCUCAAAAGUAUCAACUCCUUUGUACUUCUACCUUAAAUUAUAUAAUUGAACACAUUACAUGUAGUUGGAUGUGACAUAGUAUAGAGGGGACAAAAAAAAAAAAAAAAUCUCAAAAUCACCUAAACUCUAUUUAAUUUAAAAUUUUAUGAACUAAACUUUACGACGUUGGAAUUUACUAUUUGAAUAAGUUCUCUACCAAAUGAUUCAUAUCAAUUGAUGAUCCUUUUUAUCGAACUUACACAUCAAUUAAUAAUUGUUUAGCCUCAAUAAGAGUUGAUAACUAAAUCUCGAAUCCUAAUUAACUUUACGAGGAGAGGGAUCAGCCGAAAAAAUUAAAAAAAAAAAGUUGGAAAUGUAAAAAACCAAUUCUAUCCUAUUUUUCAUACACAUAGCUAGCGCGCGCGUCGAUAUGUUCAACACUAUCUCUUAAUUCUGUUAAGAAGGAUUAGAUGUUAAAGAUAAUGGAUAAGGACAAACCUAUUCUACCUGUUUUGAGAAAAUAUCUCAACCAACUCUAUUGAAUUGUUAUUCAGUUUUUGAUGAUUUGUUAUUCAGUUUUGAAUGUAACAAACAUAGUCAUCACACCUGUNCAAGCAUAGUCAUCACACCUGUGUAUAUGUACCACAAACUAUGAAUGAAUAUCAGUGUGGAGAUUUAUCUCUAAUCCUUCUUAAUAAAAAGUGAAUAACAAUUCAAUAGAGUUGGUUGAGAUAUUUUCUCAAAACAGGUAGAAUAGGUUUGUCCUUAUCCAUUAUCUUUAACAAAUUCAUCGUACUUUAUUUUUUUUCUUCCAUAUAAUGAAUGAGCUUAAAAUAACUUACAAACUAUUUAACAAUAUUCGGUUAUAAAGUAUUUUAUAUAAUUUUUUUUCUAAUUAUUUAUAUAAAAAUUUAGCUCUAAAUUCAGAUUAUCAUAAUAAUUAAAUUAAUUAACUUCUAUAUUAUAAAAAAGUAUUUGUCCGGCUUGCUCGCUGAUAAAAAGAGUACAACAUCCUCAUCUAAAGACCGUUAAUUUUUUCUUCGAUCACUAGUUUAUCCAAUACAAUAAAAUAUAUUUUUAACAAUAUUUUAUUCUAUCGUCUUCAAUAUUUAACGUGUAUCGACAUUAUAAUUAAGUGUCACCAAUAAACGUAUUUUUACAAAUACUGAUAAAAAUUUUUCGACGCUAUAUUAAAGCAUCGGUAUAUUUAUCCUGACAUAUUUAUUUAACGAUUCUUUACUCGACGCUUUUACAAUUAUCGGAGUUAUUCUUAUCGAUGGUUUAAAGAAUCGCUAGUUAUUAUUUAAAGUGUCACUACAACAAAAUUAGAUUAGAUUACAAGGGACACAUUUUUGAAACACUUUUAUAUAAGUGUUCCAUUUAUGUCAAAAAUAUUUUAAAAAAUCUACUAAGACCUGAAUAUAAAACCUAAUCCAAUCAAAAAUAAAAAGUUUCUCUACAUACUCAACCAAUCCCACACUGGUCCACUCAGCUCGAUUACAAAUAAAAAAGAUUAAAAAACAAAGAAAAGAAAAAUUAAUUAUCAUAUCUCUUUCUCCUCCUCCUCCGCUGCAGCCGACGAAAUAGGAUUCCGGCAGUUGGAGUUCGGCUACGAGGACCUCGCAGGGACUGUAGAGGGCUAAAAUUGCCACGUGUUUCUCCGGCAUAGGUAACAGAAAGAGUGGAUGCCAAACAUCAAGACGGCCCUACAUAUAACGGCACCACAUAUAACAAUAUUUUUAAAAAGUGUUGGUAAUUUAGCUAACAGUAUUUUUUUUGUUUUCAUGUACCAAUAUUUAAAAGUAUUGCUAUAUACCGUUUUUAUUGUAAUGUAUUCUUAAGUCUAAGAUUUGUUAUAGUAUUUUUUAUUAACUAAAAAAAUUUUUUUUUUUUUGGAUCACAUAAGUUUUGUCCUCUAAUUUUUUCUUUUUCGACGACAUAAGUUUUGUCCUCUAAUUUGUUAUAGUAUUUUUUUUCUUUUUUUCCACGGCUCCAGCUUUGCCGUACAGUCAUUAAUUGAUAAAAUGCAAUGCAGGUACAUCUUUUUGCAUAGGUAUAUAUGCAUGCUACAUCAUAUCAUUGAAUUUAAAAGUCUGGUUGUUUUAUGUAUUAUAUAUAUGUUCUGGAAUCAAAAUAAAAGUAAUCGGUUAAAAUAGUUAAUAUAUUACAGCAAUUGAAUUUCCAUUAUUAUUUUAUUCUGAAACAAAAAUAAACUAGUUUACUUAUGAUCUAGUUUGAUUCUGAAUUUCAAAUUAGACUCAUUUCAAAGUACAUUACUUAAAAUACUGGCUCACAAGUAUCUUCUCCUCCACACCUGUUAUCGCUCUUCUUCCGCUUGACCAAAACCUUUCUCUCACACUACAGUUGCUCUUAGCCCAUAGAGUCGGAAUAAAAUUCAUUGAUUCGACGGUGGUUGUUUAUUCUACAGAAAUCGAAUUUUGAUUGCUAUUUCACUCUGAAACGGAAAUGACUCAAUUCAUUUAUAGUCUAAAUUCGGCUUUUGAAUUUUGAAUUAACCUUUUUCAAAAUGAAUAACUCAAAAUACUCUCUCACAUACACCUCCUCUAUUCUCCCUUCAUUGCUCUCCUCUUGUUUAAUCAAAAUCUCUCUCAAAGUGCUAAUUAAGUGUCCCAAUUGCCCAGUCUAAUUUUAAUUUUAAUGAUGAAUCAAAUAUUUUUGAAUAAUUCAUCAUUUUAUUUUUACUAUGAUAUAAUUCAAUUCAAUUUUUUCAUUUUUUAUUUCAAUCAUUAAAGCAAGCAUGCCCUAAAAGUUGAUACAAUUUUUUUAAAAUUUAAAUUAAAAAAUUUGAUUAAACAAAUGAGUUAGUAUAGAUCCCAAAAAAAUUAUCGACAUAAAGUUUAUACUUAUCUUUAGUUAGAGGUUGUUUAUUACAUAUAGUUACAACGUUGCUAUAAUGAGAGGAAAAAAAAAAAAAAAAAAAAAAAAAAAAAAAAANNNNNNNNNNNNNNNNNNNNNNNNNNNNNNNNNNNNNNNNNNNNNNNNNNNNNNNNNNNNNNNNNNNNNNNNNNNNNNNNNNNNNNNNNNNNNNNNNNNNNNNNNNNNNNNNNNNNNNNNNNNNNNNNNNNNNNNNNNNNNNNNNNNNNNNNNNNNNNNNNNNNNNNNNNNNNNNNNNNNNNNNNNNNNNNNNNNNNNNNNNNNNNNNNNNNNNNNNNNNNNNNNNNNNNNNNNNNNNNNNNNNNNNNNNNNNNNNNNNNNNNNNNNNNNNNNNNNNNNNNNNNNNNNNNNNNNNNNNNNNNNNNNNNNNNNNNNNNNNNNNNNNNNNNNNNNNNNNNNNNNNNNNNNNNNNNNNNNNNNNNNNNNNNNNNNNNNNNNNNNNNNNNNNNNNNNNNNNNNNNNNNNNNNNNNNNNNNNNNNNNNNNNNNNNNNNNNNNNNNNNNNNNNNNNNNNNNNNNNNNNNNNNNNNNNNNNNNNNNNNNNNNNNNNNNNNNNNNNNNNNNNNNNNNNNNNNNNNNNNNNNNNNNNNNNNNNNNNNNNNNNNNNNNNNNNNNNNNNNNNNNNNNNNNNNNNNNNNNNNNNNNNNNNNNNNNNNNNNNNNNNNNNNNNNNNNNNNNNNNNNNNNNNNNNNNNNNNNNNNNNNNNNNNNNNNNNNNNNNNNNNNNNNNNNNNNNNNNNNNNNNNNNNNNNNNNNNNNNNNNNNNNNNNNNNNNNNNNNNNNNNNNNNNNNNNNNNNNNNNNNNNNNNNNNNNNNNNNNNNNNNNNNNNNNNNNNNNNNNNNNNNNNNNNNNNNNNNNNNNNNNNNNNNNNNNNNNNNNNNNNNNNNNNNNNNNNNNNNNNNNNNNNNNNNNNNNNNNNNNNNNNNNNNNNNNNNNNNNNNNNNNNNNNNNNNNNNNNNNNNNNNNNNNNNNNNNNNNNNNNNNNNNNNNNNNNNNNNNNNNNNNNNNNNNNNNNNNNNNNNNNNNNNNNNNNNNNNNNNNNNNNNNNNNNNNNNNNNNNNNNNNNNNCUAGUCUAUAAUGAAUUACAGUACUUCAUUUCUUUUAACUGAGUUUCAUACCAAAAAACAUUACACAACAUCCUUUCACGUUUUCUGAAUAAUGCAAUCGAAAAUGACCGGUUAAUAAUAAUCUACAAUAGAAAAUACGAUUUAAAAAAGGAUUAAUUAAAAGCUAGAUACGAUAUUCUUAGAUGAACAGAAUUGUAAAAAAUAACUCUUUUCAAAUUUUUGACUGAGCAUUUCUCUAUUUAAAUUUCCAACUAGCAGUGACAGCGGGAAAAUAUUUAUUGACUUAUACUGUUACAUAAGCAUAGUAUGUGUCCUAUUUUAAAAUUUAAUUCAAUUCGACAAAAAUUCGUAUAAUUAUAAUAUCGUAAAAAUUUAUUUUUUAAAUUUAAAGUCGUAAAUAAAUCGCUUAAAAGACAAUUCGGUAAUAUAAAUUCGAUACGUAUUUAUACGAAAAUUAUACGUUCAUUAAUUAAAAAUUCAGAAUAAAAAAUUCACCUAUUAAACUUAAAAUUUUUUUCUAAAUUUAUGCUACUAUCGUAAACAGUUACAAUUCUUAAAAUUCAAAAGCUACAAAAUAAAAUAGAUUAAAUAAAAAAAAGCUAUAGAGAAUUAUAUUAUACACUAUAGUAUAUAAACAAUCAAGCAAGAAAUAUAUUAAAAUAGCCCAUUAUUAAUUAUAAAAUAUAUAUAUUUUUUUAGGCAAAUGAACAGAAAAUUUAUAUUUAAAUAUAAAAUAUAAGAUAAUCUAUACUUAAAUAUAAAAAUUAUAAGUUUAUUAUUUAGAUUUUUAAUAAUUCAAAAAUAAUUUACAAAUUAUUGGAUUGGCUCAAAAAUUUACGAAUAAUUUUUUUUUUAAAAAAAAAUUUAUAAAUAAACCGUUUAAUUCGAAUUUUUAAAUAAUUCGCGAAUAAUUUACUGAGGUAACUAACAAAGUCCACCUAGCAGUGUCCUUUCUGAUGUGCUCCGAAAGAAAGAUUAUGAUGGUACACGCUGACUAGAAUUAAAAAUAUCUGACUUAAUUUACUCUUUUUCUUCUUGAGAGCUAGAAUAUAGCUUCUAUUUUAUUAUUACUAUCAGUAUAAUUUGCACAAACUCCAUGCGAGCACAGUUUAAAUCUUUUUAUUUCAAUAAUUUCCUAACAAAAGAUGAGUAAGUUAUAACUGAGGGUGAUCAUCCAAACAUUUGAGAGUGUCAAAAUAGUAAUUCUGGAACACAUCCAUCUCAUUUCUGGGAAGUCCCAAGCCAACCUCCACCCCUCCCUCCUCGUCGCGGCUCUCGGCCACGGCCACCGCGCCGGUGUUCGCCACCGACACGACCUCGACCUUCGCCGGCCUCCCCCACCCGAAAUCCACGCCGUAGACGCCGAAUUUCGGGGACCCGGCGACCGUCAGAAUGAGCCCGGCGGCGCGCGAUUUGAACCCGCGCAACCAAUCCCGCGCGCUCUCCAGGCUCUUCCCGAGACCUCCGAUCGCGCGCCCGAUCGCCUCCGCCGCGACGACGAGCCCGUCGUCGCCGCCGAGGUCCGCGGCGUCGACGUCGGCGAAGCACGGCCCGACGCAGUUCCCGAAGUACUCCGCGGGGAGCGGCGGCCGCAUCCGGGACCGGAAGUCGGCCGCGAACCCCAUGUGCGCCGCCUCGCCGGCCGCCGCCCGUUUCGCGCGCACGUAGCCGACGAACGCGAAGGCGAACGUCACGACGACGGUCGAGCAGUGGAAGGCCGACGCCGCCGCCCUCGCCGACACGGCGUCCUUCAGCGCCUGGACGUGCCGCUUCCGCAGCGUGAAGGACGCGAAGACUCUGUCGGCCGCAGUCGCCGCGCCGUGGCCGUCGGAGCCUCUCAUCUCCGAAACCCCUUCGUAGAAAGUAGAGUAGACGUCGUGAGGGUCGGGAACCAAGGUGCGGUCGACGACGACGACGGCGGCGGCGGCGGGAGCGGGUGCGCCGGCGGCAGCGGAGGCGGACCAGCAGCGCAUGAAGCGCAUGAUGCUGCUGCCGUCGCAGACUGCAUGGUGCACCGCAGUCCCCACGACGAGGCCGCGGGAGGGGAAGACGGUCACCUGCACGGCGAACACCGGCGGCGGCCGCGGCGGCGGGGGGGAGUCGGUGCAGUCGGGCGGCGCGAGGCUCGGGACGAGCUGCCGAAGGAGGGAGACUUCGCGCGGGCGGCCAUCGGCGAGGUGGUCGAAGAGGCCGGCGGCGUUUUGAGCGUCCGAGCACUCUGCGACGGUGAAGCGGACGCCGGGGGAGGUGGCGUCGGAGAAGAAGAGCUCGAAGCGGUCCGAGGCGUCGGGGGAGGGGCGGAGGAGGGAGGCGAGGGGGAAGAAGGAUCGGAGGGAGAGGGAGAGGGAGGAUUUGAGGGAGGGGAGGAAGGAGGAGAGGAAGUGGGAGGUGGGGUGGGGGAAGGGGUAGAAGAAGAGGCGCUCCAUCGGGGGCAGGUACAGCCAGAUGACGUCGAAGAAGGUGAGGGGGACGGCGGUCGGAGCGACGGAUCCCUCCGGCGGCGAUACGCGGCACGUCUCGAUGAGUCUUACUAGUGGAAGAGAGGAAGAAGAAGAGGAGGAGGAGGCCAUUGUUGGAGAUGAAUUAAUUAAUAAGAGUUUGAUGCGUGCAGUAGUAUUAGUAAAGGGGUGUUGGAUCAUUUAUUAAAACAGGGAAGUGCUAAGUCUUCAAGCAAUAUAAAAUUGCAAUAUGUUAAAAACUAAAAUUAUAAGCGUGAAGUAAAUAAACGACAAAUAAAAAAUAAAUCAUGUAUAAAUUUACGUGAAAUUUUUUUUUACAGAUAUAAAAAAAAAGAGAAUACAAAGUUUGUCAAUACAAAAUCGACCUAUCGCGACUCUAGGGCAAAACAAAGAAUAACAGAUUCGACUCGAAUCCCUCCGCUACCCACUACAGACAUCUAUUUCUUUUCACAAAAUUUUUUACCAAAUUCAUCGUACCAUAAAACUAUUGACAAGUCGAAGUUUCAAAACUGAAAUCGAUUAGCAAUUUCGAUGCACAUCCAAUACAAUCUAUACAACUCCUCUCCGAAAAGUUGUAAAUUUUAUUAAUCUUUUAUAAAAGAAAAAAUAGUUAAAAAAAUGUAAGACGAAUAAAAGGAAAAAAAAAAAAAAAAAAGACUUUUGGAUGAGAAGAGUUGUAGAAUUACAAUCAAGCGUAAAUUAGAGACUUAUGCAUGAGUAUGAAGGCCUCCGUACUUGUAAAAGUAUAGUAGCACUACUCUAUAUAUGUAUAUAUAGGUUAAUCAAUAUUUCAUAUAGAUUUAUUAAUAUAUUAACAGCAGCACAUAAAUCCUAAGUCUGGAACAACGUAUUUGAUACUAUCAGCCAUUAAUAAUACGAAUUUUAAAACCAUGUACGAAAAAGUUUGGUACGCAAAUUUGAUGAAAACGAUCUUUAUUGUUAGAUUGUUCCAUAUGUAGUCUAUCACAUAAAUAAUAUAAAUCUCAAAGUCGCAUGAAUAUUAGAUAAGGCGGUCUUACGUUGAAAACAACUUUUAUCUUUCUAUUCGAAAUAAAAAUUUAGUAAAAUUUAUUCCCAAUAUAAGACCGUCUCUUUUGGCGUCCAUCACCCGGAUGGUAAGAACUUCAAAACCGCGUACAUAGCAAAUGGUUUAGUCUCUCUUUGGCCUUGCCCUGUUUUGGAUUCAAUUAUAAAUAUUUUUUUUUUUUUUGGAAAGAUAAGUAGCACGCUAUCCGAUUCAUUUAUUUUAUUUAGAAAUAAACUUAGCUAGAAAUGUGAAGCAACUAGAAUUCGAAUUUGGGUCUCAGGUACCAACCACCAAACCCUUUGUCACUUGCUACAGUCAGUGAUUCAAUUAUAAAAAUUGUUAGUACGAAACUUAGGGUGCAUUUGGUUCGCAUUAUGAAAGAUUACUAGGAAUAAAAGAUAUCCGAGAAUCUUAUUUCUAUUAAUCCUAUUACUAAGAAUGUGGAAUUCCUGUGUUUGGUUCGCACGGUAAUAUUAAUUAGCCAUGUUAUUUAAUAUUACAAAAAAUAUACAAUUAAUUAAUUAAUUAAUUAAAUUAAUUUUAGAUAAUGUUACCAAAAGUUUCAACAUCUUUUUAGAAAAAAGGGAGAGAGAGUAUAAGUUAGAGAGAGAGAGCAUAAUUAAAAAAAUAGAAUGAAAAAUAUAGUCGAAAUUAGAGGGAGUGAGAGAGUUGAAAUUUUAGAAAGAGAGAGAGAGAGAAAGCUUAGUUUAGAGAGAGAAAAAAANAUUAUUAGUACGAAACUUAAAGCUAUUUUAUAUGGUUCCACGUGACAUAAGAGUAGGAACUUUUAAGCCCAAAUCUUACUUUUGUGAGCACUUUUUUAAAUUUUCAAAAGAAAACUCGUAUUGUCAUAGAUUUGAAUGGAAUCGAAUUUCCUAUUUAGAAAUAUCAGUGGUUUCAGACCUCUACGGCGUGUUACAGAGAAAACACGUGUUUUCUGAGCUCUUUGAAUAAGUCAACAGUAGUUAGAUUUUAAAUUUUAAAAAUAUAUUUAUUACUUUUACAAAUUUACUGACUAUAUUUUACAUAAUUAUCAUAACUAAAAUUUUAUUAAAAUAAAUAAUUAGUUUAAAAUUUGAAGUUAAAUAAUACUAAUUUUUAUGAAAGCAAUAUUAUUGGGAGGAACCAUAGGAAUUUCACUUUCCCGGAAGUAGAUAUUAUAAGUGUACAUUUUGAAGUUAAAACAUCAGUAAUUUAACAAUUAUAUAUAUAUAUAUGUUUAUAUAAUAUUUUUUUAUUAAAUUUCUAGCUAUUAUAAUUUUUAUUUUCUCUAUAAAUAAAUCAUCGUUUACGUAUAUUAUAUCACAUAUUUAAUAAAAAUUGUUUGCAGCGGUAUAUAGAUGGAUAAAAUACCAUAAAAUUGAAGGUGACAAUCAAUUUGUUUCCUAUAAGAUUAAACUUAUUUUAAUUU